rnacentral:lncRNA from 1 species
AAAGUUUCAAUACUUGCCCUCAAGUUUUGGAAUUCGUAAAGUUCUACUUAUGUAGGCUUUAAUUCCAAAUCAUACCCUAAAAUUUUAAAAAGAUUAAAAUUCAACACUUAUACUAUUAUUAUAAUUUUAAUUAUAUAGAUAUGUAUAAGAUAAAGUCAAUCUUAUCAUUAGUAGGCCUCAUUCAUGAAGUCGAUCUAUAAGGGGGGUAUAAGGUUACUGCCUAAAAAAUGUCAGCUUAAUGGGUGUCCACUCUCACCCACCGCUUCCUUGAUUGGUGGAGGGUCGUUAGCUAAACGGUUAGGAAAGGACUAUAAUUCUCCCUUCAUUAAAAGUAUAAUGAUAAAUAAUAAGUAACUAAAUAAUUAUAAAUUCCCAAUCUUAGUUACUUAGGAAAAUGUGAAAUAGGUGCUAACCCAUGAAAUUACACUUCGUACCUUACCAAGUCGUUAGUGGAGCGUGUGUGGUUAACCGGUACACUAAUAAGGACUUGUAAGAGUGGCGAAGGGUAACUUGACUUUAUUAUAAAUCGUUGGAGCAUGUGUGGUUAACCAGCACGUCGAUUAGGUGAUAAAGUUAAGGGUAGCAAGUCAAUUUGCAUGGUUAUUCACACAUUGUUUGUGAUCCUCGGCAUCCCAGUCACAAACUUGAGAGGGAACAAUCGAGAUUCAAACAUGCCAUUGAGAGUUCAAUGUAUCUCAAAAGAUCUAGGAGUUUCAAAUCUAUCUAAAACUUAAUUAUAUUUUGUUUUUCAUGGUGGAAAUUGGUAAAUCGUCAUUUUCCUACCUUCAACUAUUUUAUAGCUUGGAUUACGACAUCCCUCUUCCGGUUAUAUAUAGGUUGUUGGAUCCUAGCCUUAAUAUUUCAUAUUGGGUGUUAUAUUAAGGACUUUAAACUAAUUAAACUGGAAUUUCUCCCAUUAUUGAUGUCUAGUUAAGACAAUUAUGGUCUUCCCAAAUCGUUAGGAACAAGCUUUCCUAUUGAAGAUGAUAUCCCACACACUACUAGAAAAAAGACCUUUAAUGACGUGCAAACAAUGACACGCGGUGAUUUACGAUACGCAAAAGUGUGUGCCCCAAAAAUAAUGUCAUCUCUUCUAAAUUUUGAAGGAUAGAGGAUGCGCUUUUUGUGCGCGCCCUAAAAUCAGUGUCAAAAAAGAAAAAAAAAAGAAAUACGGAGGAUGCCUUUCAUAAGAUGUACGUCAUGUAAGUGUGUCGCUUUAUAUUUUUUUAAUGAAACACACGUUUCAAGCGGGAAAUGAAAUCUCAAAAAUUAAAACCCCGCCUCCUAUUCCAAUUAGCAAGAAAGAAGCCUAGGGUCUUCGUCUUCCCCUCUCUCUCUCUAACCUAAAACUCAAUCUGCGAUUUCAUAGAGAUCUCCCAUGGCUGUAACAAAUGUUGUCUAAUCUCACUGAUCUUCACAGCGAUGGUGGCUUGAGGGAAAGAAUAUGGCAGCGACGGUGGCUCCAAAGCAAAAAGACGCCACGUCGGUGACUUUAGGGAUGGAAGAUAACAAUGAUGAGUGGGUCAACCCUCAUGAAAAUCGAUCCACACUUGCUACUUUUCUCCUACCUUUCUCUCCACCCUUCUCUUUCACCAUAAUCAUCUUCUUAUUCAUUCACAAAAUAUUCAACAUGAAAAUCAAAUCGCUGUUUCAUAUUUCAUUCAUUCAUAUAAAGCCCCGAUAUUUCAAUUCGAUUUUGAACCCUACCUAAAUCAUCAUCCUGGAAAAACCCUAGCACAUCAUCCCUAAAACGCCCAAUAGAAAAAAAAAAACCAGAUUUAAAUCCCUAAUUGAUUCAGACGAUGAGAACUUGGAUGAAGUCGCACCUUCUUCACCCUCCGGUUCGAUUUCAUGGCGUUGUUGAUUCAAAGUUUUAGGUAAUAUUUCUUGAUAUUGUUAUACUCUUAUCUCUUCAACUAUCUUCAAUCGUUCGGCUCAAUGUCUCCAUUCGAUUUGAUUAUCUUCAAUCGAUCGAAGUGAAAGAUGCCUAUAUUUUCGGAGUUGAUUUGUUAGGGUUCGUUCACAUCCCUGUGGAGGAGACCGCGAUCUCCUCUUCAUUCCACGAUCCCCACUUCUACUCUUUAUGCAUCUCAGGUAUUCUUCGUUCCUUCUCCCUUAUUCUCAUUCUUGUUUGAUUUCUUAGGUGCGGGAUCCUCCCCCCAUACUUUUCUACUUUUGAGUUCGUACAGAUGAGAGAAUCACGUCAUCUGUCGAUUCAAGGUGGUAUCUCUCCAAUCGUAGGGCACCAUUUACAGAUUUGCGGCUCUUCACGCACACAGAGGAAAUGGUAGAAUUUAGCAAAGGUAGAUUGGAGAGAUACCAUCAGAUACACACUCACAUCCCUAUUGUGCGAUUCAAUUGGCAAAAAAUCAAGUCUACAAUCGAAUUAGGCUGCUCAGGGUUUUCUAACACUAUAUUAGGGUUUUUUUUCAUUUAUAGAGUAGGUAAUUUGAAGAAUGUUGUCCCUAAAAUCAAUUUCUAUAAUCACUUGGUGGCAGACUUGUGUGAACUGUACCAAAAUUCAAGGUUUUAUUCUCAUCUCUUUCAUUGGUUCAUCUUUUUGGCUGAUUAGGUUUGUUUGUGUUUUUAGUUGAUGCAUAUUAAUGCUUAUUUGAUCAAGGAAGUGGCAGGAACUUGGUAGUGAUGAUGAUGUCUUUUAGUUUUUUGGUUGUGAUUCCACCUGAUAAAGUAAGAUACUGUGAAAUAUUCCACCUGAACAAACCCGGUUGGUUGGAGAGAGACAAUCAACAAAAAUGAGGAUCAAAUAUCUUGAAGCAGCACUGAGUCAAGAUAUUCAGUUCUUUGACACUGAAGUCAGAACUUCAGAUGUUGUAUAUGCGAUCAAUACUGAUGCUGUUAUGGUUCAAGACGCCAUUAGUGAAAAGGUGAAAAAGAUCAAAUCUUUUUGACUCAUACAUAUGAGAUUAUUAACUCUGUGUUUGUUUGUGUGUGUGUGUGUGUGUGUAGCUAGGGAAUUUUAUACACUNUACAUGAAAGAAAAAAGUAAGAAUGAAAUUGAAUUUACCCUACUUACAUGGUUUUGUAAUUUGUUUGUUUUGAUGUCUGCCCUUCUUAUACUCCAUAAUAGAUCAGUUGGUGUUGGUCAUCACUAAUGUAAUUAGCCCUAAAUGUCCCAUAUAAAUGAUUGGUUUUGUUCAUUUGUAUUUCUGCAAGAAUAGUUAUAGCAGUAAACAAACAGUAGAAGCUUAUUGAUUUUUUAUGGCUAUGGCCUAUGGGUAUGAUGACAGGGUGAGAUUGGAAUGGCAUUUGGAGAUUUAUUAAAGACAUUAUGGGCUCCUGGGGCAACAGUUGUACCACCACGAACAUUCAAGUCCAAGCUUGCUCAUUUAAGAUUUCCUGAUUUCAAAGAGUUGCAGACUAGUGGCAAGGGCAGCUGCAAGCAUCCUGGAAGUAACAGAAAAAACCGCACGAUUCAAAAUGUUCAUACUUGCAUUCUGUUUUAAGCUCUAAAUGUGGCAGUGGUAUAUUUUCGUCUUUUUUCAUAUUAUAAACUUGCUUCAGAUCUGAAUUUUGAACCUAAUCUUAAUAGCUUAUAUAUAUAAACUACCCUUUUGGCAGCGAUUUUACUUAGUGUAAUAUACAUGGAGAUUUGUCAAAGACUUAAUUUUACUAUUGUUGGGUCAUGGAUUGGUGAAGACUUUUUAAUUUGGCCUGAAACCCGAAACCCAGAGGUAUGUUUAUCCAGCUACUCAUCAAAAUGGUUCAUUUACAAAACAUUUGCAAAGUUUGAAUUGUCUUUAAUUUUUUUCCGAUUACUGUUUGAUUGAAAGGGAUUGAAACUUUUCUCAUUUCAGAAUUCAUUUCAAUCUCUCUGAAUCAUUACAGAACUUAUUACAUAAAUAGAAAUAAACUAAUUAACUUUUUUCAUAACAACCAAAUAAUGAAAAAUUACAUGUAUGCCCCUGAUACAGUAAAAAGUCAAUUCUACCCUUGCAGUUAAUGUUGUUGAAACUGACAUGUUAGAUUGAAAAAAGAGUUAAAGGGAUUGAAACUUUUCUCAUUUUUGAAUUCAUUCAAACUCUCUGAAUCAUUACCAAUGGUGCUUCCCACCUGUGAGAAAUUCCAACUUUAUCAAAUAUGCUGAUAAAUUAGCUGAUACUGUACAGGAUCAGGGUGGUGAGUUGACCCAAUUGACCAAAUAAUAAACUCACACUUUUAUUUCCUUUAAUUUUUAAUAUUUAAUCUUGGCUUUCAGGAGACAUGGGUUCGAAUCCUAUUCCCAAAACCUAAAGUAUCAUCCCCCCUGUGCCAAUUUUUCAUCAAAAUAUAUAGUCUUCAAUGAAACUUGAACUUCAACUCUUCCCUGUUGAUGAAACUACAUGGAGAGCCUUGGAAAUGGUAAGAAACAAUAAUAAAUUAUGUACUCUCAAGAACUGCUAAUCUUUCCAUGCCUCAUGUUGGUGUUCAAGCUGGACCUCCUAGUCUUGUGCAGCAGCAGCAGCAACCUCCAAUUACAGGUUUGGUUUGAAUUUUGAUUCAGUUUUUAUUUUUGUUAUUAUCAUUUAUUGAUAUAAAUUAAAUGGCGUAAUUAAGGUAUAAAUAUCAUCACUCUUACUUAUAUGUCUAUAUCAUUUUCAUGAAAAUGUUUAUGUUGCGUACUAUAUAUUCAUAUGUCCAGUUGUGCUUUCUACAUAGCAAAUGUUAACCUUGGUCUUUGCGUUUUUUGUUCAUAGAUUACAAACACCAAUUUCUUUCAAACAACAGAAGAUCUAGAGUUUAAUUGGGUGAUUGAAGGUGAUUUUGGUUCUUGAAACGAGACUCAAGAUAUCAUAUUUUGGCAUGGCUAUAAUCUUUGGAGGAAACGAGACUCAAGCAAAAGUAAACACACAGAGAGUUGUUGGCACAAAGUAAGCUAGAUGAUGCAAUUGUAUAUAAAUGACUUCAUUUUUUAUAAUAUUUACUCACUUUUGGAAUAAAUUUUUGUAUUUGACAUAUUAGUGAAAUGAAUUAUCUUUGUUAUUUAUUGUAUUUUAUUUUGUAUUAUUUAAUUUGAAAAUUAGUAAAUCUAUAAAUAAUAUUUUCUUUAAACAGUAAAAAUUAUGAUACGCAAAAAUGUGUGUCAUCUUCAUUUAUGACAUGGCCUUUCUUGACAGGGGCUUUAUUGAUACGCAUUGCGUGUCAUAAACACGCGUGUCGUAAGGUUACGACACGCAAAUGCGUGUCGUCUUCCUUUAUGACAGGGACUUCCUUGAUACGCAUUGCGUGUCGUAAACGCGCGUCGUAAUUGCGCGUCGUAGAUGAGCGUCGUAAAUGCGCGUCGUCUCUCUUUAUGACAGGGCCUUCCUUGAUGCGCAUUUGCGCGUCGUUUGAGCCUUUUACGACGCGCAAUGAGCGUCGUAAAAGGCUAUUUUUCUAGUAGUGACAUGAUAAUCAAGGUGAAAGGUUAAUCCCUUGUGCAUUAAUAAGACUGGAAAUCGUGCUUCACUUCCUCCACUUCCUCAAAUUAUUCUCCCUAUCCCACAAGUUCAAAUAUGUGAAAAGUUCAAAGUCACUCAAUCCCUAUUGGCAAGCCGGGAGAGUCGGGUAUCGAAGUCUCGAGGUAGCUGGCUAUUGACCUGGUUCUUCAGUCACACCCUGAUGAUAGAUCAAGACAUGACCCUUAAUGAUCUUACAUAUUUGCUUGAUACUGAUAAAUCAGCAAUGAUUUGGAGCAUGGGUAAAGCAAAGUAGACUAGAAGAUUUACUUCCCAAACCUAUUUGGACAUUGACAAUGGUGACAUUGGAAGUCCAGAAAAACUUUCACUUCCCAAUGGAAAGGGAUUUGCCAUGGUCAAGUCAUUUGACCGAUGGUAAACAGAAAGGCUAAGUCUGAGACAAUCAAGUGUACCAUUUCUAAAGAGUCCAUAUGCUUCUUUUGCCAAAAGAAGGGGCAUUGGUUGCGAAGCUUCUGAAUUGACCUAAAAGUUCAUAAGGAUGGUAAAAGUCAAAAAGAUUGAAUUUGCCUCAGGUAAAAGUCCACUAUCGAACUCUAUUUAGUUCCUAUAUGGAGAUUCUUAAUACAUGAUGUAAUUACAUUUUGAUGUUUUUGAGAAUCAAAGGAAGCUUAGAGAAAGAGUAUGCUAAUUCUGAUCGCGAAAAUGGAUUUCGAUCGCAUGGUUCGAUGAUCAAAAUUUUGAGCUACUGCUUAAGAGUUAUGAUAGAUUGCUUAAGGAAUAGAUAGCAACAUAGUUUUCAUAUGUCUUUGCAUUGUAAGGAUAAGAUAUUUCCGCAAGUUUUAAAAAAAAAAAAGGAAAAAAAAGAGUUUUGAUUUAUUUAUUUUUAGUAUCCUUACAAUGACAUUUGUGACAAAUUGUUGUUUAUAUGAUUUCAUUGAUAGCAAUAUUGGAAAAUAGAUUUGAUUCUUUCAUUUGUGGUAGUGUAAUAAUUUACCAAAUAAGGAAAUAUUCUCAUCACCCAAGUUUCAAUUGGACCGAAACUUGGAAUCAUGCAAGUUGUAUAGUAUGAUGAAUAAGAAUUUUCGUCUUUGGAAAAUUAAGACUAAUUCCUUAUUCACAUGUAUAUGUGAGUCAAGUGAAGGACUAAAGGAUCGGGUACAUUAGGUUGUGUGCUGGUCAAGUCCACCACAAAGGCUACUAAGAUUAUUCAUUAUGAUUUACUAAAGUUUAGUAAAUAUGGUUAUGCUUACAUGUUUAAGUGUAAUUCUGAAACAUUGGAAAGGUUUCAAUGAUUGGCAGAACGAGUAAGAAGAAUCAAAAAAGGCAGGAAGAUAAAAGUUUAUCCAAUCUGAAGAGAUGGGAGAGUGCUUGAGUAUCUUGUUUUAUGAUUAUCUUAGUGAUUAUAAAACCAUAUCACAAUUGAUCCUCUAAGGACACCUUAGUUCAUUUCUUUGCCUAAGCAGAGAAAUCAUUAAUUGUUGACAUGUUUAAAUCAAAAGAUAAAUCAUACUUCGUUCCAAAAUGUUCAUACUUGCAUUCUGUUUUAAGCUGUAAAUGUGGCAGUGGUAUAUUUUCGUCUUUUUUCAUAUUAUAAACUUGCUUCAGAUCUGAAUUUUGAACCUAAUCUUAAUAGCUUAUAUAUAUAAACUACCCUUUUGGCAGCGAUUUUACUUAGUGUAAUAUACAUGGAGAUUUGUCAAAGACUUAAUUUUACUAUUGUUGGGUCAUGGAUUGGUGAAGACUUUUUAAUUUGGCCUGAAACCCGAAACCCAGAGGUAUGUUUAUCCAGCUACUCAUCAAAAUGGUUCAUUUACAAAACAUUUGCAAAGUUUGAAUUGUCUUUAAUUUUUUUCCGAUUACUGUUUGAUUGAAAGGGAUUGAAACUUUUCUCAUUUCAGAAUUCAUUUCAAUCUCUCUGAAUCAUUACAGAACUUAUUACAUAAAUAGAAAUAAACUAAUUAACUUUUUUCAUAACAACCAAAUAAUGAAAAAUUACAUGUAUGCCCCUGAUACAGUAAAAAGACAAUUCUACCCUUACAGUUAAUGUUGUUGAAACUAACUGUUAGAUUGAAAAAAGAGUUAAAGGGAUUGAAACUUUUCUCAUUUUUGAAUUCAUUCAAACUCUCUGAAUCAUUACCAAUGGUGCUUCCCACCUGUGAGAAAUUCCAACUUUAUCAAAUAUGCUGAUAAAUUAGCUGAUACUGUACAGGAUCAGGGUGGUGAGUUGACCCAAUUGACCAAAUAAUAAACUCACACUUUUAUUUCCUUUAAUUUUUAAUAUUUAAUCUUGGCUUUCAGGAGACAUGGGUUCGAAUCCUAUUCCCAAAACCUAAAGUAUCAUCCCCCCUGUGCCAAUUUUUCAUCAAAAUAUAUAGUCUUCAAUGAAACUUGAACUUCAACUCUUCCCUGUUGAUGAAACUACAUGGAGAGCCUUGGAAAUGGUAAGAAACAAUAAUAAAUUAUGUACUCUCAAGAACUGCUAAUCUUUCCAUGCCUCAUGUUGGUGUUCAAGCUGGACCUCCUAGUCUUGUGCAGCAGCAGCAGCAACCUCCAAUUACAGGUUUGGUUUGAAUUUUGAUUCAGUUUUUAUUUUUGUUAUUAUCAUUUAUUGAUAUAAAUUAAAUGGCGUAAUUAAGGUAUAAAUAUCAUCACUCUUACUUAUAUGUCUAUAUCAUUUUCAUGAAAAUGUUUAUGUUGCGUACUAUAUAUUCAUAUGUCCAGUUGUGCUUUCUACAUAGCUAAUGUUAACCUUGGUCUUCGCGUUUUUUGUUCAUAGAUUACAAACACCAAUUUCUUUCAAACAACAGAAGAUCUAGAGUUUAAUUGGGUGAUUGAAGGUGAUUUUGGUUCUUGAAACGAGACUCAAGAUAUCAUAUUUUGGCAUGGCUAUAAUCUUUGGAGGAAACGAGACUCAAGCAAAAGUAAACACACAGAGAGUUGUUGGCACAAAGUAAGCUAGAUGAUGCAAUUGUAUAUAAAUGACUUCAUUUUUUAUAAUAUUUACUCACUUUUGGAAUAAAUUUUUGUAUUUGACAUAUUAGUGAAAUGAAUUAUCUUUGUUAUUUAUUGUAUUUUAUUUUGUAUUAUUUAAUUUGAAAAUUAGUAAAUCUAUAAAUAAUAUUUUCUUUAAACAGUAAAAAUUAUGAUACGCAAAAAUGUGUGUCAUCUUCAUUUAUGACAUGGCCUUUCUUGACAGGGGCUUUAUUGAUACGCAUUGCGUGUCAUAAACACGCGUGUCGUAAGGUUACGACACGCAAAUGCGUGUCGUCUUCCUUUAUGACAGGGACUUCCUUGAUACGCAUUGCGUGUCGUAAACGCGCGUCGUAAUUGCGCGUCGUAGAUGAGCGUCGUAAAUGCGCGUCGUCUCUCUUUAUGACAGGGCCUUCCUUGACGCGCAUUUGCGCGUCGUUUGAGCCUUUUACGACGCGCAAUGAGCGUCGUAAAAGGCUAUUUUUCUAGUAGUGACAUGAUAAUCAAGGUGAAAGGUUAAUCCCUUGUGCAUUAAUAAGACUGGAAAUCGUGCUUCACUUCCUCCACUUCCUCAAAUUAUUCUCCCUAUCCCACAAGUUCAAAUAUGUGAAAAGUUCAAAGUCACUCAAUCCCUAUUGGCAAGCCGGGAGAGUCGGGUAUCGAAGUCUCGAGGUAGCUGGCUAUUGACCUGGUUCUUCAGUCACACCCUGAUGAUAGAUCAAGACAUGACCCUUAAUGAUCUUACAUAUUUGCUUGAUACUGAUAAAUCAGCAAUGAUUUGGAGCAUGGGUAAAGCAAAGUAGACUAGAAGAUUUACUUCCCAAACCUAUUUGGACAUUGACAAUGGUGACAUUGGAAGUCCAGAAAAACUUUCACUUCCCAAUGGAAAGGGAUUUGCCAUGGUCAAGUCAUUUGACCGAUGGUAAACAGAAAGGCUAAGUCUGAGACAAUCAAGUGUACCAUUUCUAAAGAGUCCAUAUGCUUCUUUUGCCAAAAGAAGGGGCAUUGGUUGCGAAGCUUCUGAAUUGACCUAAAAGUUCAUAAGGAUGGUAAAAGUCAAAAAGAUUGAAUUUGCCUCAGGUAAAAGUCCACUAUCGAACUCUAUUUAGUUCCUAUAUGGAGAUUCUUAAUACAUGAUGUAAUUACAUUUUGAUGUUUUUGAGAAUCAAAGGAAGCUUAGAGAAAGAGUAUGCUAAUUCUGAUCGCGAAAAUGGAUUUCGAUCGCAUGGUUCGAUGAUCAAAAUUUUGAGCUACUGCUUAAGAGUUAUGAUAGAUUGCUUAAGGAAUAGAUAGCAACAUAGUUUUCAUAUGUCUUUGCAUUGUAAGGAUAAGAUAUUUCCGCAAGUUUUAAAAAAAAAAAAGGAAAAAAAAGAGUUUUGAUUUAUUUAUUUUUAGUAUCCUUACAAUGACAUUUGUGACAAAUUGUUGUUUAUAUGAUUUCAUUGAUAGCAAUAUUGGAAAAUAGAUUUGAUUCUUUCAUUUGUGGUAGUGUAAUAAUUUACCAAAUAAGGAAAUAUUCUCAUCACCCAAGUUUCAAUUGGACCGAAACUUGGAAUCAUGCAAGUUGUAUAGUAUGAUGAAUAAGAAUUUUCGUCUUUGGAAAAUUAAGACUAAUUCCUUAUUCACAUGUAUAUGUGAGUCAAGUGAAGGACUAAAGGAUCGGGUACAUUAGGUUGUGUGCUGGUCAAGUCCACCACAAAGGCUACUAAGAUUAUUCAUUAUGAUUUACUAAAGUUUAGUAAAUAUGGUUAUGCUUACAUGUUUAAGUGUAAUUCUGAAACAUUGGAAAGGUUUCAAUGAUUGGCAGAACGAGUAAGAAGAAUCAAAAAAGGCAGGAAGAUAAAAGUUUAUCCAAUCUGAAGAGAUGGGAGAGUGCUUGAGUAUCUUGUUUUAUGAUUAUCUUAGUGAUUAUAAAACCAUAUCACAAUUGAUCCUCUAAGGACACCUUAGUUCAUGUCUUUGCCUAAGCAGAGAAAUCAUUAAUUGUUUACAUGUUUAAAUCAAAAGAUAAAUCAUACUUUGUUCCAAAAUGUUCAUACUUGCAUUCUGUUUUAAGCUGUAAAUGUGGCAGUGGUAUAUUUUCGUCUUUUUUCAUAUUAUAAACUUGCUUCAGAUCUGAAUUUUGAACCUAAUCUUAAUAGCUUAUAUAUAUAAACUACCCUUUUGGCAGCGAUUUUACUUAGUGUAAUAUACAUGGAGAUUUGUCAAAGACUUAAUUUUACUAUUGUUGGGUCAUGGACUGGUGAAGACUUUUUAAUUUGGCCUAAAACCCGAAACCCAGAGGUAUGUUUAUCCAGCUACUCAUCAAAAUGGUUCAUUUACAAAACAUUUGCAAAGUUUGAAUUGUCUUUAAUUUUUUUCCGAUUACUGUUUGAUUGAAAGGGAUUGAAACUUUUCUCAUUUCAGAAUUCAUUUCAAUCUCUCUGAAUCAUUACAGAACUUAUUACAUAAAUAGAAAUAAACUAAUUAACUUUUUUCAUAACAACCAAAUAAUGAAAAAUUACAUGUAUGCCCCUGAUACAGUAAAAAGACAAUUCUACCCUUACAGUUAAUGUUGUUGAAACUAACUGUUAGAUUGAAAAAAGAGUUAAAGGGAUUGAAACUUUUCUCAUUUUUGAAUUCAUUCAAACUCUCUGAAUCAUUACCAAUGGUGCUUCCCACCUGUGAGAAAUUCCAACUUUAUCAAAUAUGCUGAUAAAUUAGCUGAUACUGUACAGGAUCAGGGUGGUGAGUUGACCCAAUUGACCAAAUAAUAAACUCACACUUUUAUUUCCUUUAAUUUUUAAUAUUUAAUCUUGGCUUUCAGGAGACAUGGGUUCGAAUCCUAUUCCCAAAACCUAAAGUAUCAUCCCCCCUGUGCCAAUUUUUCAUCAAAAUAUAUAGUCUUCAAUGAAACUUAAACUUCAACUCUUCCCUGUUGAUGAAACUACAUGGAGAGCCUUGGAAAUGGUAAGAAACAAUAAUAAAUUAUGUACUCUCAAGAACUGCUAAUCUUUCCAUGCCUCAUGUUGGUGUUCAAGCUAGACCUCCUAGUCUUGUGCAGCAGCAGCAGCAACCUCCAAUUACAGGUUUGGUUUGAAUUUUGAUUCAGUUUUUAUUUUUGUUAUUAUCAUUUAUUGAUAUAAAUUAAAUGGCGUAAUUAAGGUAUAAAUAUCAUCACUCUUACUUAUAUGUCUAUAUCAUUUUCAUGAAAAUGUUUAUGUUGCGUACUAUAUAUUCAUAUGUCCAGUUGUGCUUUCUACAUAGCAAAUGUUAACCUUGGUCUUUGCGUUUUUUGUUCAUAGAUUACAAACACCAAUUUCUUUCAAACAACAGAAGAUCUAGAGUUUAAUUGGGUGAUUGAAGGUGAUUUUGGUUCUUGAAACGAGACUCAAGAUAUCAUAUUUUGGCAUGGCUAUAAUCUUUGGAGGAAACGAGACUCAAGCAAAAGUAAACACACAGAGAGUUGUUGGCACAAAGUAAGCUAGAUGAUGCAAUUGUAUAUAAAUGACUUCAUUUUUUAUAAUAUUUACUCACUUUUGGAAUAAAUUUUUGUAUUUGACAUAUUAGUGAAAUGAAUUAUCUUUGUUAUUUAUUGUAUUUUAUUUUGUAUUAUUUAAUUUGAAAAUUAGUAAAUCUAUAAAUAAUAUUUUCUUUAAACAGUAAAAAUUAUGAUACGCAAAAAUGUGUGUCAUCUUCAUUUAUGACAUGGCCUUUCUUGACAGGGGCUUCCUUGAUACGCAUUGCGUGUCAUAAACACGCGUGUCGUAAGGUUACGACACGCAAAUGCGUGUCGUCUUCCUUUAUGACAGGGCCUUCCUUGAUACGCAUUGCGUGUCAUAACCGCGCGUCGUAAAUGCGCGUCGUAAAUGCGCGUCGUAAAUGCGCGUCGUCUAUAGACGACGCACAAAAGCGCGUCGUCUCUCUUUAUGACAGGGCCUUCCUUGACGCGCAUUUGCGCGUCGUUUGAGCCUUUUACGACGCGCAAUGAGCGUCGUAAAAGGCUAUUUUUCUAGUAGUGACAUGAUAAUCAAGGUGAAAGGUUAAUCCCUUGUGCAUUAAUAAGACUGGAAAUCGUGCUUCACUUCCUCCACUUCCUCAAAUUAUUCUCCCUAUCCCACAAGUUCAAAUAUGUGAAAAGUUCAAAGUCACUCAAUCCCUAUUGGCAAGCCGGGAGAGUCGGGUAUCGAAGUCUCGAGGUAGCUGGCUAUUGACCUGGUUCUUCAGUCACACCCUGAUGAUAGAUCAAGACAUGACCCUUAAUGAUCUUACAUAUUUGCUUGAUACUGAUAAAUCAGCAAUGAUUUGGAGCAUGGGUAAAGCAAAGUAGACUAGAAGAUUUACUUCCCAAACCUAUUUGGACAUUGACAAUGGUGACAUUGGAAGUCCAGAAAAACUUUCACUUCCCAAUGGAAAGGGAUUUGCCAUGGUCAAGUCAUUUGACCGAUGGUAAACAGAAAGGCUAAGUCUGAGACAAUCAAGUGUACCAUUUCUAAAGAGUCCAUAUGCUUCUUUUGCCAAAAGAAGGGGCAUUGGUUGCGAAGCUUCUGAAUUGACCUAAAAGUUCAUAAGGAUGGUAAAAGUCAAAAAGAUUGAAUUUGCCUCAGGUAAAAGUCCACUAUCGAACUCUAUUUAGUUCCUAUAUGGAGAUUCUUAAUACAUGAUGUAAUUACAUUUUGUUGUUUUUGAGAAUCAAAGGAAGCUUAGAGAAAGAGUAUGCUAAUUCUGAUCGCGAAAAUGGAUUUCGAUCGCAUGGUUCGAUGAUCAAAAUUUUGAGCUACUGCUUAAGAGUUAUGAUAGAUUGCUUAAGGAAUAGAUAGCAACAUAGUUUUCAUAUGUCUUUGCAUUUUAAGGAUAAGAUAUUUCCGCAAGUUUUAAAAAAAAAGGAAAAAAAAAGAGUUUUGAUUUAUUUAUUUUUAGUAUCCUUACAAUGACAUUUGUGACAAAUUGUUGUUUAUAUGAUUUCAUUGAUAGCAAUAUUGGAAAAUAGAUUUGAUUUUUUCAUUUGUGGUAGUGUAAUAAUUUACCAAAUAAGGAAAUAUUCUCAUCACCCAAGUUUCAAUUGGACCGAAACUUGGAAUCAUGCAAGUUGUAUAGUAUGAUGAAUAAGAAUUUUCGUCUUUGGAAAAUUAAGACUAAUUCCUUAUUCACAUGUAUAUGUGAGUCAAGUGAAGGACUAAAGGAUCGGGUACAUUAGGUUGUGUGCUGGUCAAGUCCACCACAAAGGCUACUAAGAUUAUUCAUUAUGAUUUACUAAAGUUUAGUAAAUAUGGUUAUGCUUACAUGUUUAAGUGUAAUUCUGAAACAUUGGAAAGGUUUCAAUGAUUGGCAGAACGAGUAAGAAGAAUCAAAAAAGGCAGGAAGAUAAAAGUUUAUCCAAUCUGAAGAGAUGGGAGAGUGCUUGAGUAUCUUGUUUUAUGAUUAUCUUAGUGAUUAUAAAACCAUAUCACAAUUGAUCCUCUAAGGACACCUUAGUUCAUUUGUUUGCCUAAGCAGAGAAAUCAUUAAUUGUUGACAUGUUUAAAUCAAAAGAUAAAUCAUACUUCGUUCCAAAAUCAAAUCUAUACACCAACAUUGAGCCUUGAGUGACAUAAUCUUACGGAAGGUUUAAAACACUUGUCAAAUGUAGAGUAAAACGUUGUCUUACUCUUGUACAUUUGAAAUUGGUAAGUUGUGAUGUUUUGGAUAAGACAAAGACCAACUAAUACCAAUUGUGAGAAAUGUUUUUCCUUGAUAAGAAUCCAUACUAACUCUUAAAUAUUUGUUUUGUCGAGGUUUAGUUCUUGACAAAGAGAAUCUUAUAUGUCAAGAGGACAGUGGAGUCCUGACAUAGUUUCGAGAACUGAUCAAGAGUAUUGUUAAUCACUAGCCCACGACUUUAGGUUUAUAACCUAUCGUGUUGACUUAUUCUUGUUUAUGUGUCAUUCCAGUUAAAGUUGGCUAUUUUUAUGAGUUCUAUGAGUUCUCAAUUAUUUGCAUAACAACCUAGAAGAAAUGGUAGACCCUUGUGCUGCCGGGUGGCAAGAAAAUGAGACUGGGCGAGUUCAGUCCGUAUGAAUUUGGAUUUGUCACUAAACUUGACUUGUGAUUAUGGUUAUGACAAAUUCAAAUGGAUAGGAACACUUACACCAUAAAAAUCUAAGUGUUAUAAGGUUUCUCUUCGUUUCAUGAAAAUGAUGGUGAGGAAACGCUUUCACUGAGUAGAAUUUAAGUAGAUAGCAAUUGUGAUAUUUGCAUUCUCAUGUCAUUAGUGGAGCGUGUGUGGUUAACCAGCACACUAACUAGUGAGAAUGGAAAAAGGUCUAUGCAUUAUGAUUACGACAUCCCUCUUCAUAAUUGUUUAGACACACAUGUGAGCUAUCUAAGGAAAAGUGUAUGGUUUUGAUAAAGUCUUAUCAAAGCAUCUCGUAUCAGAAAUUUGAACUUUGUUAAGAAAGUCAAUAAAGUAUUGAUUUCUAGAAGUCCAGUUUAUUUCUGGGUACAUGUCAAAGCUAGUGGGAGCAUAAGUGCUAUGCUAGUAAGAUAAUAAUUAUCAUGUUAGUGGGAGCAUUAUUAUUAUGCUAAGUGUUGCAAGUUAGCAGUGUUAAUUAUAGAAAACAAAAGUUUCAAUUGGGUUUGAAAAGUUGUUUUGCUAUAAUUAAGGGAGAGGAUUUUAUACUUCAUUUCAAUUCUACAAGCUUAGAUUGAGAUUUUAGUCAACUUUAGUCAAAUAUAUAUAUAUAUAUAUAUAUAUAUAUAUAUAUAUAUGAAUGGUAUGUUGGAAUGGUUUAACAUAAUGAAAUUCUAUUUAGGUUGCGUUCUCAAAAUUCGAUUAUGAUUACGGCAUCCUGUAGAAGAAUUGUAUUCGAGAAAUCGAUUAAGAUCAAAAUGAUCAGUAUGACGAACACAAAAAGUAAAUAAGUCUUUGAAGUUUUAUUACUCUCUCAAUAAGCUCUAUUACAAAAAAUACUAAGUCUAUUACAAUAACGCUUCGUACAAAAUUGACAUAGUAAAUACAUUACAUACGAAAAUAGACUAAACACUAUUCGACUAUUUACAAGACUUCAACCCUUACAAUCUCCCCCUUUGUAAACGAGUCGAACUACUCAAUUCGUGAGAAUCUGAGCAGCUAAGUGCAUCAUCCUUCGUAUCUCAUAAUACCAUGUUAAAACCUUCUUUAACUCCUUCUUGUCACUAUAAUUAUUUGUCUUGCAGGUUUUCAUACAAACAAUAAUGUUCGUAUAUUGUGACGUUGUAUAUCUUUCGAUCUUAGCAACUUGAAAAAGAAAUCUUUUAACUUUUCCUUUAGUGUCUUUUCAAACAAAAACCAAACCAAAUGGUUUUAAGCAAAUUUCUCCAUCAACAUACUUUUUCAACUCAAACUGUGUCUUCGAAAGUUCCAUUGAAACAGAUACUUUGGUAUCCAUACUCGAAGCCAACUCUUCGUCAGUCAGGGCAAGACAAUCAUAAUAAUUGUCAAUGAAGAUUUUUAUGUGAGCAAGACCUAGUCUGAACACUUCUUUGUCAAUACCCUUAAGUUGUGAUGCCUCCAUUUCUUUUAAAAUUAAUGCAACUUGAAUAAGAUCAUUCAAGUUCAUUAGAGGAAAAUCUGCAACACUGAAGUCAACAGCUUGAUUGUUUGCACGAACAACAAGAUAUCUGAAAUUUUGUAUCAUGUUUUCAAACAAGACAUCUUUCUUGAUAGCAACAACUUUCUUGAUCUUGAUCAGAGACCACACUUCAUCUUGCUCUUUUCCAAGUACAUCAUGAAAACGAUUUUUCAUGUGCGUAUAAUCAUCUGGAUUUUCGAAUUUCUCACUAACCUUGUAUUGAGUUGUGAUAAACAUUAUUUUGUUUAUCGGAAAGUCCAACUAACACAAAUCAGUGUUAGCAAUGGAAUAACUUUUCGUUGGAAUUUUUUUCUGAAAUCAUACAUGUGAUUGAAUGCAACCCUCGAUUCGAUUGAUUCAUAUGAAUACAGCUUUCUGGGAUCACCUUUUUCCAUACUAGGUAGGUCACUUGCUCUCAACCUCAUAAUACUUUGUAUAUGCCUUUGAAGUUCGAUUUCAGCCUCCACCUCUACUUUCUUUUCUUCUUAAGUCUUUUCGACUAGCAUACCCUUUCCUUUGUCUUUUGAAUCUUGAUUUGGUUUUACAGAAGUUGAACUACCCUCUUCUCUAUCUAAGCCAAUCACAAUCCCUUUUGUAAUCGGUUUUGUAGUAACAAUGGUUAUAGAGAUAGUAUCAGAUUUCAUCGGAAUUGUAACUUGAAUUUGUGUAGAAAACACUUUUCCAACAACUUUUGAAUCUCCUUUGCUCACCUUCGAUUCUCCCACUUGCACCCCUAUAACAACAGGUGGGGCAUUUUGUCGCAACAUUUGAGCAAAUUUGGAAAUAGGAGCAACUGCCUUCUGAAUACCUUGAUCAAGUAAAUUCAACUUCUGAGUAAGGAACUCAGGAGUUAAAAAUGAAGUUGGAAUAGGCUUCGAAACAACAGCUUUAAGCUCCUCAAGAAGAGUCUGCAAUUUAGCAAGCUGAUUUGUGUCUUUAAUUGCUUUCGUUUCAAAUUUUGGCAUUGUGUCUUGAAAUGUUUUGACAAAAUUUGUAACUGCCCCAACAAUUAUAUCAACCUUUUCCUGAAUGGAAUUGUACUGAGAAUUCAUAUUCUCAAUUAUGUGAGAUACUUCUUUCUUCAAUUCUUCCAACAUCAGGUUAACAUCUUCGCGAACCUUUUUGACAUCUUGUACAAAAAGAACAUGACGUUCCUUCGCAACAGCUUUCAAAUCUUUUAAGGCCCCUUCAAAAUUUCCUGCCUAAGUCUUGAUACGAAGUUAACUAUUUUGAUCAGAUAAAUCAAUCUUUUCAUGAAGUCUUCUUUCAGCUGCCUUGAUCAUUAACUCAACUUCAAGACCCAAAAGAGAAUGUUUUGUUCCUGAAUCAGCUUGUGAUUGAAGAAGUGAAGUUAGCUUCCUGUUCAAGAUUUUAAAUUGUUUUCCUGACAUUAACAUAUGAUCAGGAAUCUCCUCCUCUUCCAAAUCAAAUUGCAAAUCUUCGAAAGUGCCUCCAAAACCUCCUCCUUCUGUUUCAUCAUCGGAUUGCGGUUUAGGUGUGUCAGUGGAUUGUGAUGGAAGAAGAGUAGUAAUUGGUUGUUGAAGUAUAGAUGAAAACAAUGGAGAUGAAGUAGAAGUUGAUAGUGGUGGUGGUAAAGAAACAAAUGGAGUGGAAAUGAUUGGUGGUAGUGAAGAAGAAAGAACAAUUGGCUAUGAAAUGUCGACACUCAUUGUAAAAUGUGUUCCCAUACCAGAUACGUUAGCAGUGAUGUUAGAAAUAGGAACCUCCUCGGUAAUUGAUUUGGUAAUCACUACUUCGAGUGGAAUGGUUGAAGUAGGAGAAACAUGUGAAACAUGCAACACCCAGGAAAUGAUAGGUAAAGAAGUUACCAUAGGAGAUGUUGAAACAACCGGAGUAUUAGGAACAACUUCAUUAUCAGAAGAAUCAUCUCUGAUGAUAUGCUUUCGUUUGUACUGUUUUUCUGUGAUGUGCUUUGCAACAUCAUGUGCACGCCUCUUCUAGGAUAAUGGUGAAACAGGAGCAAGAAUUUCAUAAACUACUACUCCUUUGUUGCUAAGCUGAGUCUUACGAACCAUCGGUGUAACACCAAAAAUUUCAAAACAAUUUUUCAUUUAAAAAUAAUCGUUUAAUUCUUAAAAAAACUUUGAUUAAAAUCUCAUUCAUAAUCGAAUUACAAAACAUAACUCCAUUUUCACUUGCAUAAUGAACCAGGAUCCUCAAAACAUGACUCUUUCUCUGGUGUGUACAAUCGAGCCGGUGUUGUCCCGUGAUCCUGAGAGAAACCUGAAACACAUAACACAAAACACUAUAAGCACGAAGCUUAGUGAGUUCCCCAAAAUACCACACAUAACACAUAUUAGCCACUCGAGGCUAUAACUCUGUGGGUCCGUGGACCCUACUCUGUGAACCUUCCGGUUCUAACUUUAUGAACCUUCCGGUUCUAACUCUGGGAACCUUUCGGUUCUAACUCUGUAAAUAUGCACAACAUAAAUCGCAUAGAAAUAAUGCAGUACAACACAUAACAUACAUAGCAUACAAAUACUCUGUCACAUAACUCUGGUUACGUACUCAAGGUAAAGUAUAGUGAGAAGACUCACGUGGCAAUCAGAAAACAAUUAUCUGCACAUGCGAACCUCGGGCUCGCCAUUGCCUAACACAUAAGGCAAAUAUCUCUAAUUAAUACUCGCAGUCCCAACUCUAAUUAACCGGCGAUUACUCUUUCACUCUCUAGUCAGGUAAUGGGUAAAAGACCAUUUUACCCCUCCCUGACCUCUAUUACCUCUGUUGACCAAAACUCCUAAAGUCAACAUAAGACAACUCAAGUCAACGGUCAACACUGACCAGACUCAGCGAGUACACAAGAGUGAGUCGGCGAGUCCCCGCGGGUUCUCUAAACUCUUUUUAAACCUCUUAGACAUGACGAGUUCCCUCUCUACUCAUCGAGUUACUCGGCAACGAAACGCAGGGCAACCCCGAUUCGACUCGUCGAGUCUGCCCAUGGACUCGGCGAGUUGCUCCCAUGACAAUCCUCAUCUGACCUUCUAAGGUCAGACCUGCUUCACCAAACCAUAGAUCUAACUCCCUCAAAGCCAAUAACCACGAAAAGGUCGAACCUUGGGCACUCAUGCAAGGUUCUACAAGCUCAUUUGGGUGAAACCCUCUAUUACAUAACAACCCUAGCUCAAAACUCCAAAUAGAAUGCAUAAAGCAGGAUGGAAGGGACUCUCUGGACCUCUUUGGGUCCAGAUCUAUGACUUCACACUCAAUGGGACACUAUACUCCACAAAUCAAGCCAUAAAAGAAGCUAGAAAACUCUAAAAUCACCAAUAUUACCCAAAACAGAAAAGCGAGAACGAUUUGAUACCUCAAUGGUGAAGAUACAAGCUCAGAAGCUCCGAAUCAACACCCCCCCUUGACCUCCCUUUGUUGGAAAUGACUACAAAAUAGCUCUUCUUCAUUCUCUCAGCUCUCUGGUUCAAUAGGAGUCUCUCAAAGGUGUAGGUGGCCGCCACUGAAGGCCAUAAGGGCCUUUAAAUAGGUCGCAAACCCGGACAAUUAGGGUUUUCCUUGACAGCGCCGACUCGGCGAGUCCAAAUACCCGUCGUCGAGUCCCUUCAUUAAACUGGUCCCCAAAACGCAAUCCUACUCGACGAGCUGAGGCGUCAACUCACCGAGUCUCCUCAUUCCUUAAUAUAAAAUACUCAAAUUCCCAUACCUGGAUAUCCGGAUGUUACAAUCGGUGAAUCAUCAGACGAAUUUUCUUUAGAUGAUAUCCUAUGAAUUCGUUUAAGAAUUCUAGAUUUUGAUGGAGCAACUUCUUUCGAAGGCUGAUUAUCACCCUCAACAUUCUUUGUAUCACGUCCUUCAAUGUUCUUAGGUGAGGAUUUUGACUUUGCAGUUUUCCCAUGAUUCCCAUCAGACUUCGUUUUCUUACAUGGCUUGGAAGAACCAGUUUCGGUUUCAAGUAACAACCCAGUUUCGACAUUAGGGUCUACCGUCUGCAAAUACUUAACAAGAAUCUUGUGUGUUGAAUUCACCUUCUUUAGCAUUGCAUCUGGAAUUCGUGCUACACUAGUAAAAAUGUGCUCAUCAUCUUUAGUAUUCUUUGGAAACUGAUACUUCAUAAAUUCAGCAAUUUCUUCUCUCUGAGGAACUUGAAUUCCUUCUUUCUCAUACACCUUCUCCAAAAUCAGACUCCAGUAUCUAGCACAAGAAAUUCACUUAGCUACACUUGUGUUUGCCAAACUUUUCGUAAAUUCGUUCCACAACUGAGUGGCAUAAUCUACACUCAAGUCGUAAUGCAAACCCAUGACCAUAGCAUAAACUUCUUCUCUUCCUUUGUCAAGACCCACUUUUCUUCCUGUUAAGCACCGUAGAAAAAUCCCAAAUAAGAAAUUCCAUAUAUAGGGAAGCCCAGACUUUUUGAAGUCACUAAUCUUUUCGAGUGGUUGCUGAUGACCCAUCUCAUUGAACAUAUGCAUAAUCUGAGGGUUAGAUGGUUUGAAAAAGGGUGGUGUAUUGGGUAACUCUAAGAACUGUGAGAACAUCUUCUUGGGAAGACAAAUUCAUUUUUCAUUCACUAAAUUGAAUGUGAUAAUAUAUGUUCCUUUGUUGAAUGAAGCAGUAGAUGCAGCUAUAGACAACCAAGUUAAUGGCACGACAAAGGAUUUGAACAUUGCGGUGGCUAGAACUGAUCUUUUUAAUACAACAAUCAGCAUCUUGAGAUCAUCUGGAUAGAACGAGAAAUUUGAUUCAACUGGAUAGUUGUUGCUUUGAAUCUUCAUCAAAGGUUGGGACACAAUCUCUUCAGUAGUAGAAUUCUGAACAGCAGCCAUUUGCAAAUUGAUUGAAAGCUUUCUGGUAAAAUUAGGGCUUUUCGUUUUCUUUGUGUUCUUAAACGCGUGAUUUCAAAAGGAAAGAAUAUUUUCCUUUUAUAAGUAACCAAAAAUAAUUUGAACUGUUUGUCAUUAAUAAGAAGAUCACAUCAUCCCUUGAAACGAGCACUAGUAGCCGUUCUUGUAGCUAUGUUAGAUAAAGUUCCUUGAAACUAGGGCCAAGUUAUCAAACGGUUACCUUGAGACUGAUCGUGAGUACUUGUGGAUAAGAUCAAACGUUUCGUAUUUGAGGUUGGGCUCAUUCGUUUUUGGGAUUCGAAAUGAAGUCAUUUUCCAGUCUUGUGAAAUCAUCAUCCUAAGUUGGUAUUACUUAGAACCUCAAGGAUUUCGUGAGUGCAGUGAUUCAAAGGAAAAGGAUAAGAAGCAAAAAAGAAAUUUGGAUCUGUGACGUCAAAAAUGUUGACACGAAAGCAGUUAAAUCCCAGGCAACGGUUGCUUCAUUAAUUAUCAAGAGACAUAACUAACAGCUUUUCCAUUUUCCCAUGAAUUACAAUCGAAUAAUUUUAAAGAAGUAUCAAAGGGCUUCUUUUUCUAGACUUAAAUGGGUGGCUUACGAAUUUCGUUACAUAUCGUCCUAAACAUAAGGUGAGUAAUUGUAAACGAAAUUACUUGUUUGACCAGUGUAGUUAGUGACAAGUUGCUUUGUCAAAUUGUGAAAGUGACUAAGAAAAAUAAUUGAUACUCCCGCUGAAAUCACAUUCAAGAAAAAUUAUUUGGCUGGAUUUUAUUGGGUAACAAAUGUCAUGGGUUUCGAACAUUUGAUUAAAACAACUCAUACGAAAGAAUGUGAUUUGGAUUAUACGAAACUUUGGUACAGUCACAAGUGUUUCGUAAGAAUCUGGAACAUAGUUCCCCGUCAAUUCCUUAUUAAGUUCGGAUAUUUGGGUUUCACUUGCAUCACGGUCUCAUGAUUUAAGAUCAUUAACACAGAUUUUUGACAUGUUUAAGUCACAAUUGGUUUGAUCAAUGACCUCUUGAACAUGUGUCUUUAUGUUUGAAAUGUGUUAAGAAAUUUUGUGAUGAAAAAGAUUGGUUAAGAUUUGAAUGUACCUCUUUUAUUUAUGGACCAAACAGACAACUCUUAACUCAUUUGAGAAGAGUAAGGUAGCUCUUUUGACUAAUGCGAAUGUACGCCUAAUUUGGAAGAAACUUUCGUAUGAAAUAUUUCAUUUAGGCUUUCGUAACACACAUAGAGUCAGUUGAGGCUUGAGUCGACAUGCAGCAGUAUGCUUCUAAGGACAGCUUAACUAGUAUAAAUAUUUAAUUGAAUUACCUUUCCAUAGAAACACAAGCAUGACCCUUUGAAGAAUUGACUUGAAAAUGUUCUUGAAUAUCCUAAAAAAAAUAACCAAAAAUCUUUUUGAAUUUUUCAUUUUUGAACAAAAACAAACAAAAACAAAAAAAUAAAAUAAAACAUGAAACAUUUGAUAUUUUUGAUUUUUUGAAAAUGAAUACAAAGAAAUAAAAAUAUUUUUGAUUUUUCAGUUUUUCAAUGAAUAAAUUUUAAACUAAUGAAAAGAAAUGAUAGAACAAAGCAUGCAAAACUUUAUACUAUCAAAAUACAAAAACGAAGCGUGUCAAAGCCUCUUAACGCAUAGUAACCUCUGAAUGGUUCAAUCAACAAGCCUUUGAAUCGACACCUCUUUCAUCAUCAACAUUUCGUUAAUUUUGAAUAUUUGAAACUAGAACUAAAUUCGCAUCUAACAUUCCCAAACCUGCUAAAAUUCUCACGAAAGAUUUUUCAUCAAGUGGUUUACUGAAAAUACCAGUAAGUUUAUUAGUAGUUUUCACAAAAUGAACUUCAAUAUUAUCAUCUUCCACAUGAUCUUUUAUAAAAUGAUAAUGAAGAGCAAUAUGUUUCGUUUUUGAAUGUUGUACUGGAUUAUGACAAAUGCGAAUAGCAUUUUGCGGAUCACAAUACAAAGCAAUCUUUUUCAUAUUAAUUGCAUAAUCACGCAAUUGGCUUUGAAUCCAAAUGAUUUGAGAAGUGCAAGCAGCAACAGAAAUGUAUUCAGCUUCAGCAGUAGAAAUUGCUACACAAGUUUGUUUCUUCGACUGCCAACUUACCAACUUCCCACCAGUAAUUGACAUCCUCCACUUGUACUUUUUCUAUCAAGAGUACAUCCACCAAGGUCUGAAUCCGAAAAGGCUUGAAUGAAAAAUCCAGAUUUCGAAGGAUACCACAAUCCCAAUGAAACUGUUCCUUUAAGAUAACGAAAAAUAUUCUUCACAGCUGUUAAAUGUGAUUCUCUUGGAUUUUCUUGAUACCUUGCACAAUUGCACACUGAAAACAUGAUAUCAGGUCUACUUGCAGUUAAAUAAAGUAGAGAACCAAUCAUGCUUCGAAACAAGGUAAGAUCAACAGUAGGUGUUUCUAACGAAGGUGUUAACUUCGUUCCAACAACCAUUGGCACACGUAACUUCGUGUUGUUAGUCAUACCAAACUUUUCAAUCAAAUUAUUUGUGUAUUUUUCUUGGUUGAUGAAAAUUCCUUCUCUGCUUUGACAUAUAUUUAACCCAAGAAAAUUGUUAAUUUUACCCAUCAUGCUCAUUUCGAAUUUACUCUUCAUCAAAUUUUCAAAUUCACUAGAUAAAUUUGGGUUAGUAGAGCCAAAAAUAAUAUCGUCAACGUAAAUUUGAACAAGCAUUAGAUGAUCACCAACUUUCUUACGAAAUAAUGUGGGAUCAACUGAUCCUUGUUUAAAUUUUUAUUGAUUUAAGAAAUUGGUAAGAGUUGCAUACUAUGCUCUUGGUCCUUGUUUUAACCCAUACACAGCCUUACCUAAAAUGUAAACAUGAUUAGGAUAUUCUUCAUUAACAAAACCUGGUGGUCGUUCAACAUACACUGUUUCUUCUAGCUCUCCAUUCAAGAAUGCACAUUUGACAUCCAUUUGAUAGACAUCAACGUCUUUAUGUGCAACAUAGGCUAAAAAUAUUCGAACAACCGCGAAUCUUGCGACAGGAGCAAAGGUUUCUUUGUAGUCGAUACCUUAUUGUUGCGAAUAACCUUUAACUACAAGCCUAGCUUUAUUUCGAAUAAUAUUGCCCUCUUUGUCGGUUUUAUUUUUAAAAAUCCAUUUCAGCCCGACAAUCGAAAUAUCAUUAGGUUUUGGAACAAGUCUCCAAACCUUGUUUCUUUCGAAUUCAACAAGUUCAAAUUGCAUAGCAACAACCCAAUCUGAGUGUUCCACACAAACCUUUACUAUUUUGGCUCUAUUUUUGAAAUAAAAACAUUAAACAUGCAAAAUUCAUGAUUCGCCUUUAAUACCUCAUUUUUCGCACAAAUUUGAGCUCUUGUUAAAACUCCAUCUUGUGGAUUUCCUAUAACUUUCUCUUUUGGAUGAUUCUUUAUCCAUUUCUCAAGUGGUGGAUAUGUAGGAUCAAAUUCCAAUGGUGCAUCUUCGUACAGUUCUUCGUUUUCAGUACCUGCCACAUAAAUAUUAUCAUCAAAUUCAUGAAACUCAUCAUUUUGAUUAGUAUUAUUCGUAUUUGUAUCAUUUUCCUCCCCCUCAACAUGAUUAUCUUUUUGAUGCUCCCCAUCAAUUUCGUGAUUUAUACUACUCUUCUACCCCUCGAAAGGAUGCUCCCCCUCAACAUUUAGAGGAAUAGACGUAUGCUACCCGUCCAUACGAACAUCUGGCAUACUUUCACUGGUUUUAGUAGUAUCCAAAGUUAUUGUUGAUUUAUCAGUAUAUUUUGAUGAUUCGGGUGUUUGGUUGUCAUCAGCAUGAACUUCAGCAUCAAUUGCCCUAUCUGGAAUACCAAAAAUCAGAUCAUAAUCAAAAUCAAUUGAAUUAUCAAUCUCAAUUUGAAUGUUUGAUUCAGCAAUAAUUGGUUUUUGUUCCAACUUUCGUGCUACUUGUUUAACAAAGUAAUCAUGAAAGGUAAGAUUAAAAGUUUCUUCAACUUUGUGGGUUCGUUUGUUCAACACUCGAUAUGCAACUGAAGUAUGCGAAUAUCCCAAAAAUAUGCCUUCAUUAGCUUUAGUUGCAAACUUGGAAAGAUUGUCUUUAAGAUUCAUGACGAAAAAUCUGCAACAAAAAUCAUGGAAAAAUUUGACAUUAGGUUUCUGUUUAGUUAUUAUUUCAUAAGGAGUGGUAUUAAAUCUUUUAUGAAUAAAAAAACGAUUCUGAGUGAAACUGCUUCGGCCCAAAGAUACUGAAGAAGAUUCGCAUAUGUCAACAUUGUUCUCGCUGCCUCGCAUAAUGAUUUGUUUCUCCUUUCAACAACACCAUUUUGUUGUGGUGUAUAUGGUGAUGAGAAAUUAUGCGAAAUUCCUUUUUCAUUUAAAAACAAAUCCAGCAUCUUGUUCUUAAACUCAGACUCAUUAUCACUCUUUAUUCUAUGAACAUUCGUUUUCAGACUCAUCUCUAUCUUCUUGACAAAAUCAAUCAUUGUUUGAACUACUUCAGAUUUUAACUUGAGAAAAAAUACCCAUGUGAAACGUGAAAAACCAAAAUGUACCAUUUCUUGUUAAUUGUUUCAACAGUCGAAGGUCCACAAAGUUCAAUAUGAAGAAGUUUCAAUGGUUCAACAAUUUUUGAGUCUAUCACGAUAGGAUGUCCUUUGCGAUGUUGUUUUCCUUGUUCGCAUGUUGCACAAAGAGUAUUAUUGUCAAAUUUUAACACAGGAAGUCCACGAACUAAAUCUUCUGUAACCAGCUUGUUUAGAUUUCGAAAGUUUAAAUGAUAUAAACGUCUAUUCCAUAACCAACUGACAUCAAUUGAAGCUUUCGAAAGUAAACAAACUGAUUGUUUGCCCACUAUUGGGUUAAUAUCCAGGGUGAACAUAUCGCCAUAUCAUUUCGAUUUUGGCAGUAUUUCAUUUGUCUCUACUUUUGAUAUUAUGCUCCCUUCUUCAUUAAACACCACUUGAUUUCCACUGCCCACAACUAAUUGUGAAACACUAAUCAAGUUAUGUUGAAGACCUUCCACAUAUGCCACUCAAUUUACUGUGAAUUGCCCAUUCGUAACUUUGUCAUAUCCUUUCACUUGAUAUUUUUGAUUAUUUCCAAACUUCACUACUCCAACAUUUUCAAUGCUUCGAAAAUCUCUUAAGUUCUCCUUCCUUCCAGUCAUGUGACGUGAGCAACCACUAUCAAUAUACCACUUCAUAUCAUAUUGCUUGUCACAAAGUACCUGCAUUUAAUUAAAGAAUUUAGGAACCCAAGGCUUUUUAGGUCCUUGCUUAUUAGUUUGAAACAAGGAGUGAAUUUUAGAACUAAAAGCUCAAUUAAAUCAACAUCACUAUCCAAAGAUAUUGAAAUAAAAUUUUUCGAUAGUUUCGGAUUAUCAUUAGAUUGCACCUCAGGCUUCUCAUUUCUUUUAAAUUUGUUGACUGGUUCCCAUAUUUGUAUCAGAAUUUCUGAAUCUUGAGAAUAUAAACUUCUAAUAGCUGACUCAUUCAAAUACUUUUCAUAAGCAGUUUUGAUUUGAGCUUGAGAAUGCCUCCCAAACUAAAACCUUUUGCCAUGUCCUUCAAGCCAAUUAUUGAUAGAAUGAAUUUCUGAUUUUUCAUUUGAACACGAAACUCUUGUUGGAUUUGUGAUUGAAGGAUUUGGAAAAUUUGGUUUUUGUCGAGUGAAUUUAACUUUUGGUUUGAAAGUUUUGUUUGAAACUUGUUGACUAUUUGUUGAUUUUCGAACACUGUUAAGUUUUUAAUCAUUCACAACUUGUUGUGAUUUCUCAUACUUUCUAAUGUUGUCAAAUUUUCAAAUAUGUUUAACCUUAUGCUUUAUUGGAAAUUUGUCUAUUACAUUCAUUGGAUGAUGAAAAGACGUGUCUUUUUGUUUUUCUGUGACAUUUGAUUUUUGAGAACUCUUAGUAUUUGAAAAUUUUGAAAUUUUAGAUUUUGAAACACUGACUGUCUCAUUUGAAACUGUGGAUUUAGUCAGAGCGGGUUUUUCAUUAGAUACUACUUUCCAAAAAAUUACUUUUCGUGCCUUUCUUUUUGAAACUUUGUGUUCUUUUGAAAAGUUGUUAACAAGCACCUUGAAUUCAUUUGAAUUAAGUUUCACAAUUGGAGUUGAAUAAACAACUUAUUUUGUAACAACAUCGUUUUCUUUUUUGUUUUAACAACCCAUUUUUGUUUUAAGUUUUGUUUUUGAAAAACAUAUGAAUUCUUAGUGAGAUUGUUUUCAAUUGUGUUUUGAUUUGAAAAGAAUCCUUCAUCAAUUAAACGCUUAUUGUCUUCUUCGACCAUUUUGUUGAAUUCAGGCUUGACAUUCUCAACAUUACCAGUUGUGACAGAUACUUGAUUUGGAAAAACUACAUCAUCUGUGCAUGUAAAAUUCGGAUACACGACAUUAUGAGUUUCCAAGUAAUGAGCACCUUUUUCAUUCAUCACCUUGUCAAAGUUUUCAGUUUCCCCAUAAACUUGUUCAAUUAAAACUCUUGGAAUUGAAGUUUCAAUUGAAACUUUCUUUUUUGUUUCAGGAACAUUCGAAGCUUUAAUUUCAUCUUCCUCAUCAUCACUACUAUCUGUCUGACUAUCUCAAACUUCCACAUCAUCAAAGUCAAAAGAUUUCGAAGUAGAGGGUUUUCCAAUGUCAUCCUUAACCUUUAAAUCAUUUACAAUUUCUUUACCUUUGGCCUUAGAUGUGAUGUUAAUGGUAGAAAACUAAGAACAAUCAAUACUUUCUUCUUCUUCAAUUUCACUGAUUUCACUAUGAUUAUCCGAAUUCUCAUUGACAUCAGCAAAAUUAAGUUGUGAAUCAAGUUUCGAAUGUUCAGUUAUUUUAAAAUUUUUGACUUGUUCAUCUUUUGUUAAACUUUCAUUAACAACAUUAAAUAAUUCAUCAGCAUUUAAAACCUCAUCUAUCUUAACAACACCAUAUGCUAACUUAUCGUCUGGCACUUUGUUAAAAUCAGCUAAUGUGUUUUCACAAUCAUAUGACAUUACAUCAACUUUUUCUCUUUCGAAUGCAAGAAAAGGCAAUAGUUUUUUAUGUUUUUCUUUUCUAAUUUCAGACGAAUGAUGUAAGGAAAUUAAUUUGGCAUACAAAUUUUGCAGAAUUACAAUAGAUGUUACGUUGGGCUAACAACAUUCGUACAUGUUUAUCUAGAUUCUCUCUAUCAUGAUUGACAUUUCCUAAUUGCAACUCUAGAUACUGUAACAGCCCGAAAUCCAGGUACCCUUUUAUUUAGCCCUUCAUCUUUAAUUGUUGUCAUUUUAGGGCCUUUGUGUUGGGCGAGUACGCUGGGCGUACAAGGAGUACGCCGCGCGUACUCGUGCGCCUCGUUUGGACGCGUUGUCCCUCAGGUACGCUGGGCGUACCCAAGGUUACGCAGGGCGUAAUCGGUCCAGACCCAAAACCUUAAUUCGUGUUGUUAGCUAUAAAAGGAAUGAGAUGGCUUGGCUCCUCAGCCACCAUCCCUCAGAAAGAAACCCUAAGAGAGUGCUCCUUCGUUCCUAGUCCUUUUGUGAGUGUUCUAAGCUUGGUGGUGCCAUUUCAAGGUAGCAAAGGAGAAGAAGAGUCCAUUGUGAGGGCUAGAAGUUCGUGUUCAAGUGUAGAUCCGGGCUUAGCAAUGGUUGGAGCUUCUUUCUAAGGUAAAAAGUUCGGAUCUUGACUUAUAGAUCUUGUGGUAUGCUUUAUGGACCAUUUUCUAGGGUUUUGUCCCAAUGGUGGAGACUUUAUGAGCAAGUGGUCUCCAUUAGCUUAGAUCCAUCAUAUUUCUGGUCCUUUUGAGUUGUAGAUCCAUAAAAAUGUAAUCUUGGACGUGAAUGAUUAGCCAUGCAUGAGAUCUAGAUCCUUGAGUUGAUAUGGAAAGGCGUUAAGGAGUGUAAGGACCUUUACAGCCAUGCUAAGGCUUAAAGGUUCCGACUUUAUGAGUAAGGUUGCUUAAAUAAGGCCGGAUCUAGAAGUUGUAGUAGUGGCUUAACCGAUUAAGACCAGAUAUGAAGUGUGUCUAGAUCUGACUAUUACGCUGGGCGUAACUCCCAAUACGCGCAGCAUACUGGGUGGAGACCCCGAUUAUUGAGUUGGCGAUGUACGCCCCGCGUACAUCAGUCUGUACGCCUCGCGUACUGGAGAUGUUGACUUUUGUUGACUUUUAGGGUUUUGGUCAACAUGUGGAAUUUGAGUCAAGAAAGGGUAAAAUGGUCUUUUACCCUCUGAGGAAUGNAAGGGGUAAAGUCUAGUGGUGGAAGUUUAUAUUAAUUAAAAUGAUAUUCGUUAUGAUUAGGCGAGGUUGAGUCUUCGUUUGGGGAUUCGGAGAUAGCGAGCACGUGAGAUUCUAGACUUUCCACGAGGUGAGUAUUCUCACUAUACUGUACCCGGAAGGGUUUUAUUGUGUGACCGGAAGGUCGGAUGUGUUAUGAGUUAUAUGGAUUGUAUGUGAUAAGUUAAUUGUUUAUAUGUGUCAUGUAUGAUAUGCUUAAUAUGGGCCGGAAGGCGUAUAUGUUAUGGGCCGGAAGGCGUUGUGAUGUGAACCGUAAGGUUGACGUAGGUAGGACCGGAAGGUUUACCUAGGUGGGACGGAAGUCCCCUAAGACACAUUGUCACAACUGGAAAUUUUGUGUCAUGUAAUCUAUACAUUCAAGCUAAUGUGAAUCAAAAACUUAAGAACAUGAUUGACACCUACUAUUAUGACAUCAAGAACUUCAAUCAAAUACAUCAUACAAGUACUACAAAUAGUCAUCAAACAAUUGGAGACCCUAGAAGUCCUUGUUUAAGUCCAUUUUGGACUAGGACUCCCUUAUUGGAUCCAAAUGGACCAAUAAGCUUCCAAUUAGACUAUCAUGGGCUUAGAACCCUAAUUGGGCUCUAAUUGAACCCACACUAAUUUAUUUCAACAUUUUGGGCCAUGUUGGGCCUAGAAUGAAAUGAAUUAAAAGCUUUGAUCCAUGAAUACCCUAAACUAGUCCAACAAAAAUGGAAAAAUCAUACUACAUUCUUUUAGGUAUAAAACACACCCUAACUAACUCUAAUUUUGGGCUUAAGGGAAAAAGCCCAAAUUUUUCUUUUUCCCUUCCAAACUCUCGGCCCAAGGCCCAAACCCAAGGAAAGAUGAAGAGUUGACUUUGCCAUUGCCACCUCAUUUUUAUCUCUUGGAUAUCCAUGCAACAUAUCACAUAUACCCAUGCAUACAUCAUCUCAAAGAUCACUUCUUCCUUCCUCUCUCUCACUCUCGGCCACAUGCAAACACACACACACCACAAAAAUCUCUUCCAAACUCUCUAAGUCUUGAAGAACAAUCCUCCCUCCUUCUUCAAAAUUUUCGUGAAUCUAAGAAGCUUUCAAGAGGAUCUUGCAAGUUAAUCAUCAUCUUAGGUAAGUUUUUACUUAUAUCCAUGAUCUAGCUACUUCAUUCCAUCAAAAACCUCUUCUAAAUCUAUUCCAACUUGUGAUCAUGCACCUUAGAAGUCACCAAACUCGAGAUCUACCAAGGAAAGGUGCUAAGGCCGAAAAUCACUUCAUUUUUCUUCCAUCUUUUCUUCAAAACCGAAACCACACCCAAGGUGAGCUUCAUACCCCCUAUUUUCUGUUUUUAUGAGUUUUGUGGGGGGGAAUACAAGUGAAAGUGUAGAUCUAUAUGUGUUUUGUAUGCUUUGUAUGGUUUCCAUGCUUAUAUGUGUGCUUUUGUGUGUUAUAAUGUGGGAUUUAGCCAUAAAACCCCUCAAAACCGAGAUAUACCUUAUGUUAAAUGAUUUUAGCAUCAAAUAUAUUUCUACAUACAAAGUGUUUCUAGAAAAAUAGCUAAAUGGCUUAGUAACAAUUUCUUUGGGCUAAAAACACAAUUUUUGGACCUAAAAUGUGAAAAAUACAAAGUUAAGGGCCCAAAUUGACAUAUCACGAAUUCUGAUGGAUGAGGUGUGUUAAAACAGUUUCAAUAAAACAAUUUCUGGAAAUAUACUCAUUUGGAGGAUUAAAAACAUAAAUUUCAAGCUUAAUGGGCUAAAAAUGACAUUUUCGGCCCAAUGAGGCCCAUUAUGCGAGAUUUUCUGUUUUGGAGGGCCAAAACUGUGUUUUUCUGUAAAACAGUGGACUAUAAGUGUUCCAAGUCCUUUUCAAAGGUUUAAAAUGCUUUUUAAAUUUAAAAAGGACCAAAGUUGCAAAAAUUUUACAAUUUGGGCCAAAAUUGUCAAAGUUGCGAAAAAGAAGGGUUAUAACCGAGAAAACUGAAAUUUCAGGGACUUAAACUGUUUUCAUUGAAAAAUAUGCUGAAAAAUAUCAAUUUCAAUAAUUUUUGGUGUUAAAAUGUCAAGAAAAUUGAUUUAAGGACCAAACCGGAAAGUAUUUAAUUAAAGGGUUGAAAAAGUAAAUUUUACAAACAAUGAGGGGCUGAAAACAGAAAACUUUCAAGGCUAAUUCAAUACAUGCAAUUUGAUCAAAUAAUGGCACCGCGACUAUCGACGAAAUACAAUACACUACAAUACCAAAAGUCGUUGUUAAACGAAUUGGUUCGGUCUCGAACCAAUAAAAAUCCGAAACUACUAACACGACGACACUACGACACUACGACACUACGACACUACGAUUCAUACAAGUAACGUUUGGGAAUUCAAUAUACAUGCGAGUGUGCACAGACGUCUACGCACCAUCUUUGGGCCCCAAAAGUGUAAAAUCUUGUUUGUUGGGCCUAGCUAGCCCAAUGACCUGAUCUUAAGGCCCGAAGACCUCUAUCUUACGAAGUGUUGGGUUUUACCGAUCUAACACAACGUAAAAGGACUUUCAAUGGCUUGUAUACUACUGGUCCCCAAGGGUCCUUUGGUAUUGCUAGUAAAGUCUACAUUUCAUGCGAGGCGGGUCUGGGACCCCUCGUACAUUUUUUUAUCCCCAACCGGUUAAUGGAGUCAUCGAGGUCUUCGUGCCCUCUUUCUCUUCGGAUGUGGGACUACACAUAGUCAGGGCGGUUGGAUAACGUGAUUAGUACGGACGACGCCUACGGGAUCGUUAGUAUAGCUAUAAACUGGUCGUUUGUGUAAUGCGUGUUUGUAGCAAUUAAUCAUGCUCAAAAAUAAUCCAACGUCGCCUGGGACUGACACUACACGCUAUGCAAUGGUUUCAAUGUAACUUCAUGGAAUUCAAGGAAUUAGGAAAACAUCGGGUUUUCCUAGGGUUUUUCAAUACAUACAGAUUCGAAAUGCAUACAACUUUAAUGAACAAUUUUUACAAGUAUAGAAACAAACAAGCAUACCUAUGGAUCUUCACAAACGUUUUCAAAAGCAUUUCUUUUCAGAAAAUAUCGGAUUUUCUGGUGGUUUUCAAACGAUACGAAACAUUGUUUUUUUUCAAAUACCGCUUAUGAACUCACCAACAUUUCACAUGUUGACGUUUUUCAAAAUACUUGUAUUCUCAGGGAACCAGUGAAUCAAAGGAAAUCAUAUUCAGUGAUGGCUUGCAGUUUAUUUAUGUACGAAUCGAACAAUUUAUUUUUGGGAAUGUAAUGUUUAAACAAUGUGCUUCAUGUAAACUCUACUGGUUGUACUAUAUUAAUGCAUGGUGACGAAUGUUGUUACGUUUCAUAUAUAUUCAAUGUUAUGGUAUUCAAUUGAGUCACGACAGCCCCCGAACGUUUCCGCCGCCUGGUUCGGGGGUGUGACACGUUGGUAUCAGAGCUUUGUUUAUAGUGAACUAGCAUGUCGAGCCACACAUUGAUAUGCAACUAUAAACCAAAAAGAGGGACUAACAUAACUCUGAACAAAACAAGUAAANAGGUCAGGGCCUGGAAAGGCGUACGUGCGUAAGUUGUAUUUUGGGGAACUCACUAAGCAAUUAUGCUUACAGUUGUUGUGUUAUUUGUUCCAGGUACUAGUGAGGACCGUGGGAAGGCGCCGGCGUGAUCUGUACACACUGAUGGAGGAUUUAUGAUCUUGGGAUUUAUAUGAUUUGCAUUAUGAUAUGACACAUUGGAUCUUUAAGACUUAUUUUGGAUGGAAACAUGUUUUAAUAAAUGAAAAUUUUGUUUUAAAAAUUUUCGUUAUUACAAGUUGGUAUCAGAGCCUUGGUUUGAGGGAUUUUGGUGCACCUUUGGGCGUAACUGAACUCAAACCGAGGAUUUGAGGAAAUUUUUCAAAAAUAAAAGCAUAAAAUUUUAUAAAGGAUUUUGUAAUAACCAAGGAUGAAGCAGUGCGUACGUCAGCCAGCGCCCGAACGGUAAAAAUCCCCGAAAUACCCUUGCAAUAUGUGCUAUGAGAUAUGUUAUGAUAUGUUAUGCAUGCUAGAUUAGACUAGGUAUUCAUAUUAGGACUAGAGUGGCCUGAUUUGUGAUGCCUUAGUCUAAGGGAAAAUUUGCUGCUAUGAGAUGCUUUGAGAGCGAGUAGGUAAUCAGUGCAUAGCAAGAAUAGAGUACUCGUGAUCCAGGGUCCAAGGAGGAGGACUUGAGGUGAACGCUGAUGCGGUGUAAUCAGUAGUGUAGGGCCCGUACUACUAAAAACACUGGAUCAGUGGGCAAUCCAAGUAAGAAUCCUUUGGGUAUCGGAGGUCGAGUAGGGUUGCGUUAUCGAGUGCGAGUAUGCUCGAUUAGGUCUCUGAUAUUUUUAUGUUGUAUUUCAGAGGCAUCAUGGUUGGGAUACGCCACAGACCAGAGAUGAGCGGUGUGAGUGACGAGGAGAUUCAACAGAUGAUCCACGUUGAGGUGGCUACGGCAAUCCGGGCCGUGAUUCCGGAGAUGUUUGGGUCUAUCAAGACCACGUUGUUGGAGACUUUUGAUGAGCGGUACGUCAUGGUGACCGAUGCUGCGGCCGCUGCAGCUACAACAGCUAUGGCUGCUGCCAGACCUCAGGGAGGUGACUCGUUACUCUUCCGGGAGUUCAGCAACACGAAGCCACCCGAGUUUGACGGGACGCAGGAUCCGAUCGCUGCGAUGAGAUGGAUUGCUGAUAUUGAGGGAUGCUUCUACACUUGUUCAUGUCCGGAGCAUCUAAGGGUACGGUUCGCUUUGAAUCAGCUCCGCCUGGGAGCCAAGGAUUGGUGGAAGUUCGUGAUGGUGAACUUCACUCUUGCGGAGAUUUCAGCCGUGACUUGGGAGAUAUUUACUUCUAUGUUCAGAGACGAGUAUGUUCCCCCGGUGGAGAGGGAACGGUUGGUUCAGGAGUUCUUAACCCUCAAGCAGGGUAAUGAUUCGGUUACGGUGAUCACUCGGAAAUUUCAUGAGCGGGCGAUGUUUUGCCCUGAACAGGUUUCCACUGAGCAGGCUCGGAUGAGCCGAUAUUUGGGUGUACUGAGGAGGGACAUUCGGGAGUUCGUUUUGAACUCGACAUAGCGGACAUUUGCUGAGCUCCAGGCAAAUGCCCGGAAGAGGGAGAUCGNNNNNNNNNNNNNNNNNNNNNNNNNNNNNNNNNNNNNNNNNNNNNCCCAGCCGGCAGCCAAGCGGACCAAGUCCGCCGAUUCGAGGACGGGAGGUCAGAAGGGCCGCACUUGCGGAUAGUGCGGCAAGGGUCACGAGGGGGCAUGUCGAUCAGGUGCUUACUACAAGUGUGGCAAGGAGGGACAUAUUGCUAGGGAUUUCCCCAAGGGGUUUAUGGUUUGCUUCCAUUGCAACCAGACCGGCCAUCGGAAGGCUGAGUGUCCUCAACUCCUCCAGGGAUCUGCACCUGUUGCUAGGGCUACUGAGACUCGACCAGUGAAGGCCGAGGCCCCGAGGGCUCGUGGGAGAGCUUUUCAGUUGACCGCGGAGGAGGUCCGCGCGGCGCCUGAUGUCGUGGCUGGUAUGUAUUCUUUCGUGUAUUUAUUUAUUUUUAUGUUGAGAUGUUGUGCUUAUUUUAUGAUAUGCGUAGGUACUUUUCUUGUGAAUUAUGUACUUGCUUUGGUAUUAUUUGACUCGGGUGCGAGUCGGUCUUUCGUAUCUCUGGCUUUUAGUCAGCACCUCGGUAUUGAUCGAGAAGUGAUGAGUCGACCUCUGAGGGUUUCCAUAGCUGAUGAGAAAGCGAUAUAUGCCACAGACAUGAUUCGAGGAUGUGUUCUCGAGAUGUUUUGGUGUCAAUUUCCCUAUAGACCUAGUUCCUAUCGCCAUGGGAGAUGUUUGUGUCAUCGUGGGCAUGGACUGGUUGAGCAGGUUUGGAGUGGUCAUUGACUGCGGGAAAUAGCUGGUGACUAUGCGAGACCCUAGUGGGGGAGUGCUUAUUGUGUAUGGCGAGGGGACCCGGUGUGGGUCAGCAUUCUGUUCGGCUGCCAGGGCGAGGCAGAGUUUGCAGCAAGGCUACAGUGGAUUCUUAGCCUAUGUGAUGGACGCACGGGGGGCCACUGAGAGACCAAGUUCGGUGGGCGAGGUUUCGGUAGUGUGUGAAUUUCCCGAUGUUUUUCCCGAGGAACUUCCGGGCAUGCCUCCAGAAAGACAAGUGGAGUUCUGUAUCGAUUUGAUUCCGGGAGCAGCACCUAUCGCCAAGGCGCCUUAUCGCCUCGCGCCGCCGGAGAUGCAGGAGUUAUCCUCACAGCUUCAGGAGCUGUUGGGGAAGGGGUUUAUUCGACCGAGUAGCUCGCCUUGGGGAGCACCGAUCCUUUUUGUCAAGAAGAAAGAUGGUUCACACCGGAUGUGUAUUGAUUACCGGGAGUUGAACAAGUUGACGGUCAAGAACCGGUAUCUGUUACCUAGGAUAGAUGAUCUGUUCGAUCAGCUGCAGGGGGCUUCUUGGUUCUCCAAGAUAGACUUGAGGUCGGGUUAUCAUCAGAUGAGGAUUCGGGAUGAGGAUAUCCAGAAGACUGCAUUCAGAACUCGUUAUGGACAUUAUGAGUUUGUGGUGAUGCCUUUUGGGCUCACCAAUGCCCCAGCUGCAUUCAUGGAUCUCAUGAACAGGGUGUGCAGGCCGAUUCUGGAUCGGUCGGUGAUCGUAUUCAUUGAUGAUAUUCUGGUAUAUUCGAGGUCUAGGGAGCAGCAUGAGGAGCAUUUGAGGGAGAUCCUUGGAGUUCUGAGAUCGGAGAGGCUGUAUGCCAAAUUCUCCAAGUGUGAUUUCUGGUUACGAGAGGUCCAGUUUCUAGGGCAUCUUGUUAAUCAGAAAGGGAUUUUGGUCGAUCCGGCCAAGAUCGAGGCGGUGAUGAGAUGGGAAGUGCCGAGAUCGCCCACAGAGAUCCGAAGCUUUCUGGGUUUGGCCGGCUAUUAUCGAAGGUUUAUCAAGGAUUUUUCCAAGAUCUUCGUGCCGCUUACUAGGAUGACUCGGAAGGGUGUUGCAUUUUCAUGGGGACCGGAGCAGCAGUCCUCCUUCGAGACCCUUCGUCAGAAAUUGUGCGAGGUCCCUGUUCUUGCACUCCCAGAUGGGAUGGAUGAUUUUGUGGUGUUCUGUGAUGCAUCUAUAUAUGGAUUAGGGGCAGUGCUUAUGCAGAGGUGACACGUUAUAGCGUAUGCUUCGAGGCAGCUGAAGACUCAUGAGUCGAGAUAUCCCACUCACGACCUGGAACUGGGGGCUGUGGUGUUCGCCCUCAAGAUCUAGCGGCACUAUCUUUAUGGUGUUCGGUGUACCAUAUACACGGACCACAAGAGUCUGAAGUACUUGAUGGAUCAGCCAAAUUUGAAUAUGCGACAGAGGAGAUGGUUGGAUGUGGUGAAGGACUAUGAUUGUGAGAUCCUGUACCACCCGGGCAAGGCGAAUGUAGUAGCCGAUGCGUUGAGCCGUAGAGUGGAAAGCGCCCCGAUUCGAGACAUUUGUAUGAGGUUGACGGUGAUGACUCCGAUUUUGGACACCAUCCGAGGAGCCCAGGCUGAGGCUGCGAGACCAGAAAACCAGAAGAGGGAGCGGGAUGUCGGUCAGGUAUCGAAAUUCGUUACGGAUGGGCGGGGACUCAUGACUUUUCAUGGUCGGAUUUGGGUACCGUUUGUGGGCGGUACGCGUACUAUUUUGAUGGGGGAAGCGCAUCGGUCAAAAUUCUCGAUUCAUCCCGAGGCUACCAAGAUGUAUUUGGACCUAAAGAAGGAGUAUUGGUGGCCUUGUAUGAAGAGGGAUGUUGCAUGGUUCGUCGAGAGGUGCCUGACUUGUCGUCAGGUUAAAGCCGAGCACCAGCGUCCGCAAGGUAAAUUGCAGCCGCUGGAGAUUCCCAAAUGGAAGUGGGAACAUAUUACCAAGGAUUUUAUCACCAAAUUGCCAAGGACUGUAAGGGGAGUCAAUGCAAUUUGGGUGAUUGUGGAUAGAUUGACGAAGAGCGCUCAUUUUCUGGCCAUCAGUGAGAGCUCUUCUGUGGAGAAGUUGGUAGAAUUAUAUGUCAGGGAGGUGGUAUCGCGGCAUGGGGUUCCGAUGUCGAUCGUUUCAGAUCGGGAUGUGCGAUUUACUUCCAGGUUUUGGAAGAAGUUUUAUGAGAAGUUAGGUACGAGUCUGCAAUUCAGUACCGCAUACCACCCGCAGACGGACGGACAGAGCGAGCGGAUGAUUCAGACGCUCGAGGAUAUGCUCCGAGCGUGCGUUUUGGAUUUUGGAGGGAGUUGGCACACCUAUUUACCCUUAGCAAAGUUUUCGUACAACAACAGCCAUCAUUCGAGCAUCGGUAUGCCACCUUUUGAGCUGUUGUAUGGGAGGAGGUGUCAGACCCCCAUCUACGGGGGAGAGGUGGGGCAUCGGGUAAUGGGUAGUACAGAGAUUGUGCUUCAGACGAUAGAGCAGAUACAGCAGGUCAGGCAGGGAUUGUUGACCGCUCAGAGUCGCUAGAAGAGUUAUGUGGAUAGGCGUCGGUCCGAGCUCGAGUUUCAGGUUGGUGACCUUGUACUCUUAAAGGUCUCUCCUUGGAAAGGAGUGAUUCGAUUCAGGAAGAGGAGCAAAUUGGGACCUCGGUAUAUUGGACCUUUCAGGGUAAUUGCGAGAGUAGGCAGGGUAGCCUACCGUUUGGAUCUACCUGCAGAGCUGAGUCAGAUUCACGACACCUUUCAUGUGUCGCAGUUGAGACAGUGUAUUGCCGACGAGUCAGCUGUGGUUCCAUUAGAGGAUAUUCAGGUGGAUGCGGGCCUGAACUAUAUUGAGAGACCGGUGGCAAUUAGGGAUCAAAAGGUUAAGGUUCUGAGGAACAAGGAAGUGUUGGGUUUUGAGCAUUCUAACACUUCCUAAGUGUACAUGCAACCCUAAAUACCUUGGAUCUAUGUUUUCUCUAUUAUACAUGCAAAUAAGAACUUCCAAGGUAUUAUCCUAAUCUAGCAUACAAAACAAUAACUAUAGCAAGAUAGAAUACAUACCUCUUUGGUGUAGAAUGUCUUCAUGAAGCUUGAGUGCCUAGUGCCCCAAGUGUGACACCUCAAAUGGAAUCACAAUCAUCAAAACACUUAGAAUAACUUGAGAGAAUUCUACACUCUUCAAAAUCGGCUAGCCCUUUCUUCACUAUCUCUAGUGGCCCUUUUUUCCUCAAUAAUAAGAUGCUUAUAUAGUUACACAAUUAGGGUAAACUCUUAAUUGUCAUGGCUUUCCAUUUCCUUGGAUCCAUGGGUACAAAUACACCAUGGAGCAUCCAUGGACCAUCCUAUGGGUUUUAGCCCAACUUGAUUAUCCAUGGAGCAUUAGCCCACUAUACAAGUAUGGAUGAUUUACACAAUCAACCCAUAUAUUUAAUUAGUCUUCUUUUGAUCACUUAAUUAAUCCUAGAUUAAUUCUUGAUCAAUACUAAUUAAAUAAUCUUAUUAUUCUUAUUAUUAAUAUACUAGAACUUAUAAUAUAUUAAUAACCAUAAGUGUCUUAUUUCUCUCAUUCAAGUGCAUGAUGGUAUGCAACCCAAAUGGACCAUGCCGGGUCGGGUCAAGUCUUACCAAAUAUAGUUAUGGACUUAGACAUUAAUCCAACAGUCUCCCACUUGGAUAAGUCUAAAACUAUUAUUGCGUAUGACUUCAGGAACCAACCGGCAAUCGUAGCUCUCAAAAGCUUCUGUCGAACUCUGACCUUGUAGAUGAACUCUGACCUUUGUCAGUGACUUGUCCAUUAGAUAAGGGAUCAUAUAUUCCUCCAUUCUAGAUAUCAUAUGGACUGAGACAUGGAUUAUAAUCAUUCUCUCUGUCCAUUUGUUGUUUCCCGAUUUCCGAUUUAUGACGACUGACUAAUUGAACAAAUCAAAUCAGUCCUGGCCCGGCCGAGCACUUCCAUUUGUCAUCAUCAAAUCAUCGAGGGGCCCACAGAUAUCGCUUUUAUCCCGAAGGUAAAAGGAACGGAUAAACUUCGACUCAUAUGGCUUGUUCUACUACUUGUUGAAUCAUACACAAAGGCACGUUUUAUAGCACCGAGUUACCAAAUGCGUUUUCGUGCUAUCAAUGUACUAUCAACUCAUAGUAACAACUCAUAUCUCUAGGUUUGAAGAAUAUAAGAUAUUAUCGUCUCAUGAUCACUCGUGAUAAAAUCCAUGAAGUGAUUCCAAUGAGCGCGGGUUGAAUCCAAUACUCAGAACUUAUGAGCACUCAUGAUUGUUGUAGCCUUGUCCAACACCUUAGACCUCUACAACCCAUCAUGACAGUCUUAAUUCAUAUCUACUUCCAACAUAUGACCGACUGUGGAUGGUUUGAAUAACUUAGUCAUUCCGGAAGAAUAACCCAGUUUAUUCGGGAAGUCAAAACAUGCAAAGUGAAACACAAUAAUAAUUGAAUCCAAUAUGGUAUCAACCCUUUGAACAUAAAUAAAACACCUUUUAUUUAUCACCAUAUGAUUACACAUUAUUCAUUGUAUACUGUUUCAGCUAUCAACUUUAUUCUUGAAUUUAAAACAAUAGUUGUCCCAUGCUCCAAGCAUGUACACUAUGUUUUCUUAAACACUAGUCAUGCCACACACCAAGUAUGCAUACUAUGUUUGUCUAUGAUCUUUACUUUGUGAACUAGAUCAAUUGAACAUAACUUCAAUGAUUCUCUUUUCACACUCCCAAAUCCUUACUGCAAAUGCAAGAAUUCCAAAUUCAUGCCAUUUACUGAAAUCUGUUAGAUUCUAAACUUAUAUGCAUUGAUCCUCUUGUAAUGAUUAUGCACAAAGUCAGAAAGACUUGACAACAAUCAUUACAGAGUAUUCCAAAGGAGAUCAGCUCCUUGGAAACAUCCUUCUUGCAUUAAGUUUCCUAAUCUUAAACAGAUUGAAAAUUCUAACUUUGAAACAUUUCCAGAUUCCAUUUUGACUAUCACUUCUGAACAAGAGUUGCCUCCUUACAGAUUAUGUCAAUAUGGUCCUUCCAGAAUUAUCACUAUACUUCCAACUGUCCUUGAGCAACCAAUCUUUGGUAAACCUUAGAUUGUCCUCGACAAUUGUUUAAUCCUUUUAGUCAUAUCCAGUUCUAAACCUUUUCCCUUCUUAAUGCCCCAGGCAUUUGGAAAAUUUUAGAACGGAUGAAUAUAGCACAUGUAAUCGAUCCUAUAUCCGAAGCAUAUGGGACACGAUUCAUGAUGUCUUACAUAAAGACUAAACCAGUCUUUUGCUAUAAUAUUUCCAUUUCAAUUUGCCAAGUUCUCAUAAUUCAGAUUAUGAAAAGGGAUGCCGUAAUCAUAAUCGAAUUUUAGAACGCAAAUAAUGGACCCAUAUACAGAAUUUCCUUAUGUUGAGCCAUUCCAACAUGAAAUUCAUAUAUAUCCUUGACUAAAUGAUUAAAACCUCACGAUCUAAGCUUAUAGAUUUGAGAUGAAGUAUAAUUUCCUCUCCCUUAAUUAUAGCAAAACAACUUUUUCCCAAUUGAAACUUUUGUUUUCUAUAAUUAACAUUGCUAACUUGCAAUACUUAUCAUAAUUAUCAUGCUCCCACUAACAUGAUGAUUAUUAGCAUAACACUUAUGCUCCCACUAGCUUUGACAUGUACUCAGAAAUCAGCUGGACUUCUAGAAAUCAAUACUUCAUUGACUUUCUUACCAAAGUUCAGAUUUCUGAUGCUAGAUUGUUUUGAUAAAACUUUAUCAAAAUCAUACACCUUCCCUUAGAUAGCACACUUGUGUAUCUAAACAAUUAUGAAGAGGGAUGCCGUAAUCAUAAUGUUUAGACCUUUUUGCCACUUCUCACAAGUCCAAAUUAGUGUGCCGGUUAACCACACGCGCUCCACUAACGACUUUGAGAAUGCAAAUAUCACAAUUGCUAUCUAGCUAAAAUCUACUUAGUGAAAGUGUUUCCUCACCAUCAUUUUCAUGAAUCGGAGAGAAACCUUAUGACACUUAGAUUUAAUGGUGUAUGUGUUCUUAUCCAUGUGAAUUGUCAAAACCAUAGUCACAAGACAAGGAUAAUGACAAAUCCAAACUCAUAUGGACUGAACUCAAUCUUAAUUUCUUGCCACCUGGCAGCUCAAGGGCCUACCAUUGCUUCCAAGUUGUUGUGCAACAAAUUGAGAACUCUAAGAACUCAUAUGCAAAGCCAACUUUAACUGGAAUGGGCACAGAAUAUGUCAACACGAUAGGUUAUGAACCUCAAGUCGUGUGCUAGUGAAGAACUUCAGGUUUUAUUCUUGAUUAGUUCUUGAGACUUUCAAGACCUUUAAGACUCCCACUGUCCUCUUGACAUAUAAGACUCCCUUGUCAAACAUCCAAGAGAUAGUGCGGAUUCUAAUCAAGAAAAACACUUUACCCAAUUGGCCUAAGUUGGUCUUUGUUUUAUCCAAAACAUCACAACUUACCAAUUUCAAAUGUACAAGAGUAGAAAACUUUUACUCUUACAUUUGACAAGUGUUUUAAACCUUCUUUAAGACAUGUCACUCAAAUGACAAUCUUGGAGUAUGACUCUAAGACUUGUAUUGGAACGAAGUAUGACUCAUCUUCUUGAUUUAACCAUUUCAACAAUUCAAGUUCCUCUUCUUAGUCAUAAGAAUGCACUAAGAUUUCCUUAGAGAACUAAUUUUGAUAUGGUUUCUUAAUCAUUAAGAUGAUCACAAAACUGAUACUAAAGUACUCUCCCAUCUUUUCAGAUUUGAGAAACUUUUAUCCUUCUGCCUAAUUUGAUUCUUCUUAUUCGCCCUGCCAUACAUUGGAACCUUUUCCAAUGUCUCAGAGUUACACUUAAGCUUGUAAGUAUAAUCAUAUUUACUGAGCUUUAGUAAACUAUGACGAAUAGUCUUAUCAAUCUUUUGUGGUGGACUUAAUCAGUGCACAAGAAUGUGUACUCGAUCCCUUAGUCCUUUACUUGACUCACACAUCCAUGUGGCCGAGUAAUUAGUCUUAAUUUUCCAAAACUUGAAAGUUCUCAUUCAUCAUGCUAUACAACUUGCAUGAUUCCAAGUUCCGGUCCAAUUGAAACUUGGGUGAUGAGAAUCUUUCCUUAUUUGGUAAAUCUAGACAUUACCACAAAUGAAAGAAUCAAUUUCAUAUUUCCACUCUUGCUCUUAAUGGAAUCAUAUAAGCAACAAUUUUUCCUCAAAUGCCAUUGUAAGGAUAUUUUAAAAUAAAUAAAAUCAAAAAUUUUCCUUUUAUUUUAAAACUUUGCGGAAAAACUUAUCCUUACAAUCCAUAUGAAAACUUGUUGUUAUCUAUUCCUAAGCAAUAUCUCAUAACUCCUAAGAAGUUGCUCAAGAAUCCGAUCUUCAAACUAUGCGAUAGAAAUCCAUCUACGCCAUCAGAUUCAGCAUAUUCUUUCUUUAAGUUUCUUCACUUUUCUUUGAUUCUUAAAACAUCACCAUGUGACCCAGUCACAUCAUGUAUCAGGAAUCUCAGAAUAGAAACUUAACAGAGUUAGAUAGUGGACUUUACCUGAAGUAGAGUCAAACUUAUUGACUUUAACAUCCUUAGGUAAAUUUGGCAGCUUCGCAACCAAUGCCCCUUCCUUUGGCAAUAUAAACAUAUGGACCCUUUGAUAAUGGUACACGAGACUAUCACAGACUUAGCUUUUCUCUUUACCAUUUGGUCAACCGAGUUGACUAUGGCCGAUCCCUUUCCAUUGGGAAGAGAAUGCUUUACUGGAUAUCCAAUGUCAUCAUUGUCAAUGUCCAUAAAGUUUUAGGAAGUUGAUCUUAGCAAAUAGAUAAGAUCAUUAAGGGUCUUGUCAUAGUCUGUUUCAUAGGUGUCCCAAAGGAACUCACUAUGUGACUUAGAAAGUGAUUGAACCACCAACUUUCUCAAGACUUUGACACCCAACUCUCCCGGCUUGUCAAUAUGUGACUACAUCUCCAAGAUGUGAUCACACCUAGACCUUGCCUUGCCAAUAGGGCUUGAGUGACCUUAAACUUUUCAAGAACUUGUGGGUUAGGGAGAAUAAUUGGAGGAGGAGAAAGAAGUAUGAUAUCCAUGGGACAUCAUCUUCAUUAGGAAACCUUGUUUCAAGAGAUUUGGGAAGAUCAUAGGUGUCUAAACCAGACAUCUUUUGGGAGAUAUUCAAGAUAGUUGAUUUAAAGUCCUUAAUAUGACACCCAAUAUGAAAUAUUAAGGCUAGGACCCAACAAACUAUUUUAUAACUUAGAAGAGGUAUGCCGUAAUCCAAGCUAUAAAAUAUUUGAAGGUAGGUGAAUGACGAUUCACCAAUUUCCACCAAGAUAAACGAAAUGUAUUAUUAGGUUUUAAUUGGUUUUGAAACUCCUAGAUCUUUGAGAUUCAUUGAACUGUUCAAAGGCAUGUUUCAAUCUCGAGUGUGCCCUUCAGGUUUUGUGACUGGGAUGCCGAGGAUCACAAAACAAGGUGUGAAGUAACCAUGCAAAUCACUUGGUACCCUUAAUAAAUUACCCCUCAAUCGAUGUGCCGGUUAACCACACACGCUCCAUCGAUACUAUGAUAAAUAUUAAGUCACCCUUUACCUACCUUGUUAAGUCCAAGUUAGUGUGCCGGUUAACCACACACGCUCCACUAACGACUUAGACAAAGUGUAAAGUGUAAUUUCAUGGAUUAGCACCUUAUUCACAUUUUUCCUAAGUAACUAAGAUUGGGUAUUAUUAAGAGUUUAGUUACUUAGUAUUAUCAUUAAUACUUUUAAUGAAGGGAGAAUUCUAGUCCUGUCAAACCCGUUCGGCUAACGACCCUCCACCAGUCAAGCAAGCGGUGGGUGAGAGUGGACACCCAUUAAGUUGCCAUUUUAUAGGCAACAACCUUAUACCCACCUUAUAGACCGGCUUCGUGAAUGAGGCGUACUAGCGGUAAGACUGACUUUACUCUUAUACAUAUAUAUAUUAUUAACUUAUAAUAUUAUAAAGUAUAAGGGUUGAAUUUUAACUUUUAAAAUUCUAAGGGCUAACUUGGAAUUAAAGUAUUCAUAAGUGAAAACUUUACAAAUUCCAAAACUUGAGGGCAAGUUUUGAAACUAUUCAAAACUAAUUAAUUCCAUAACUUAUGUGUUUAAAGUAGUUUUAAUCCAAAAACUCUUCAAGUUCCAUAACUUGAGGACAAGUUAUGGAAGACUUUAAACUAAUAAAAGAAUUAACUUUUCUUUAUUUUAUAACUUAUGGAAUUAAUUAAGGUUACACUUUUUUUUUUUUUAUUUUAUUUUAUUAAAUGAAGAGACUCUUGGUCCUCCAUAACUUGAGGACAAGUUAUGGAGUCAUAAAACCAUUUAAUUAGAACUAGACUCUUCAUUUUUGUAACCUUUGCCAAUUUUUAUGAGUUUUAUGAUUCUUAAAUGUGACUUUUCAUAUAACUUGAGGACAAGUUACAAAAACACAUUUUAGAAUCAAUUCUUAGAUUAAUUUGGAUUAAAACCAACUAUCACAUAAUUUUAUUCAUUAAUCUAAAUUCACUCAUAAAACAAGGUAACACAAAAAACUUUUGGUGAUCCAUAACUUAUUCUUAAGUUAUGGAAUCCUUUAAAACAUUAACACCAAAUUUUGUAACUCCAAAAAAACUUUGAAUCAAUUUUUUUUUUAAAACCUUUUCAUAUCCAUAACUUAUGGAGGUUUCAAAAAAUAAAACUCUUUAGAUCAAACUUUUAAAACUAAUAAAAUAAUCAUAUUAUUUUAUCUUUUAUUAAAUUUGACCUAAUUCAACUCAUAAAGCAAAUUAUUCAAAUUUUACAAAUAAUUAGUUUUUCACAAGAACAAGUAAUUAUCUUAAAAUUUGACAAACUUCAUGUUUUUUUUUUUUUUUUUUUUCAACUUUGAAAAUAAAAUAUUUGCAUCAAUAUAACAGAAAACAACCCGUGGCUCUGAUACCACUGUUGGGUUUUGAGCAUUCUAACACUUCCUAAGUGUACAUGCAACCCUAAAUACCUUGGAUCUAUGUUUUCUCUAUUAUACAUGCAAAUAAGAACUUCCAAGGUAUUAUCCUAAUCUAGCAUACAAAACAAUAACUAUAGCAAGAUAGAAUACAUACCUCUUUGGUGUAGAAAGUCUUCAUGAAGCUUGAGUGCCUAGUGCCCCAAGUGUGACACCUCAAAUGGAAUCACAAUCAUCAAAACACUUAGAAUGACUUGAGAGAAUUCUACACUCAUCAAAAUCGGCUAGCCCUUUCUUCACUAUCUCUAGUGGCCGAUUUUUCCUCAAUAAUAAGAUGCUUAUAUAGUUACACAAUUAGGGUAAACUCUUAAUUGUCAUGGCUUUCCAUUUCCUUGGAUCCAUGGGUACAAAUACACCAUGGAGCAUCCAUGGACCAUCCUAUGGGUUUUAGCCCAACUUGAUUAUCCAUGGAGCAUUAGCCCACUAUACAAGUAUGGAUGAUUUACACAAUCAACCCAUAUAUUUAAUUAGUCUUCUUUUGAUCACUUAAUUAAUCCUAGAUUAAUUCUUGAUCAAUACUAAUUAAAUAAUCUUAUUAUUCUUAUUAUUAAUAUACUAGAACUUAUAAUAUAUUAAUAACCAUAAGUGUCUUAUUUCUCUCAUUCAAGUGCAUGAUGGUAUGCAACCCAAAUGGACCAUGCCGGGUCGGGUCAAGUCUUACCAAAUAUAGUUAUGGACUUAGACAUUAAUCCAACAGGAAGUACCCUUGGUGCAAGUGCAGUGGCAGCAUCGGAAGGGGUCCGAGCUGACAUGGGAAUCCGAGUCUGAGAUGCGGGAGCAGUAUCCAGAUUUGUUUUCGGUUUAAGACUUCGGGGACGAAGUCUGGCUCUAGUGGGGGAGAAUUGUAACAGCCCGAAAUCCAGGUACCCUUUUAUUUAGCCCUUCAUCUUUAAUUGUUGUCAUUUUAGGGCCUUUGUGUUGGGCGAGUACGCUAGGCAUACAAGGAGUACGCCACGCAUACUAGCGCUCCUCGUUUGGACGCAUUGUCCCUCAGGUACACUGGGCGUACCCAAGGUUACGCAGGGCGUAAUCGGUUCAUACCCAAAACUGUAAUUCGUGUUGUUGACCUAUAAAAGGAAUGAGAUGGCUUGGCUCCUCAGCCACCAUCCCUCAGAAAGAAACCCUAAGAGAGUGCUCCUUCGUUCCUAGUCCUUUUGUGAGUGUUCUAAGCUUGGUGGUGCCAUUUCAAGGUAGCAAAGGAGAAGAAGAGUCCAUUGUGAAGGCUAGAAGCUGGUGUUCAAGUGUAGAUCCGGGCUUAGCAAAGGUUGGAGCUUCUUUCUAAGGUAAAAAGUUCGGAUCUUGACUUGUAGAUCUUGUGGUAUGCUUUAUGGACCAUUUUCUAGGGUUUUGUCCCAAAGGUGGAGACUUUAUGAGCAAGUCGUCUCCAUUAGCUUAGAUCCAUCAUAUUUUUGGUCCUUUUGAGUUGUAGAUCCAUAAAAAUGUAAUCUUGGACGUGAAUGAUUAGCCAUGCAUGAGAUCUAGAUCCUUGAGUUGAUAUGGAAAGGUGUUAAGGAGUGUAAGGACCUUUACAGCCAUGCCAAGGCUUAAAGGUUCCGACUUUAUGAGUAAGGAUGCUUAAAUAAGGUCGGAUCUAGAAGUUGUAGUAGUGGCUUAACCAACUAAGACCAGAAAUGAAGUGUGUCUAGAUCUGACUAUUAUGAUGGGCGUAACUCCCAGUACGCAUAGUGUACAUUGUGGAGACCCCGAUUAUUGAGUUGGCGAUGUACGCCCCACGUACAUCAGUCUGUACGCCCCGUGUACUGGAGAUGUUGACUUUUGUUGACUUUUAGGGUUUUGGUCAACAUGUGGACUUUGAGUCAAGAGAGGGUAAAAUGGUCUUUUACCCCUCUGAGGAAUGUUAAUAAGGGGUAAAGUCUAGUGUGGAUGUCUAUAUUAAUUAAAAUGAUAUUCGUUAUGAUUAGGCGAGGUUGAGUCUUUGUUUGGGGAUUCGGGGAUAGCGAGCACGUGAGAUUCUAGACUUUCCAUGAGGUGAGUAUUCUCACUAUACUGUACCCGGAAGGGUUUUAUUAUGUGACCGGAAGGUCGUAUAUGUUAUGAGUUAUAUGCAUUGUGUGUGAUAAGUUAAUCGUUUGUAUGUGCCAUGUAUGAUAUGCUUAAUAUGGGCUGGAAGGCUUUAUGUUAUGGGCCGGAAGGCAUAUAUGUUAUGGGGCGGAAGGCGUUGUGAUGUGAACCGUAAGGUUGACGUAGGUAGGACCGGAAGGUUUACCUAGUCGGGACGGAAGUCCCCUGAGACACAUGGACCGGAAGGUCAGGGCCUGGAAAGGCGUACGUGUGUAACUUGUAUUUUGGGGAAGUCACUAAGCAAUUAUGCUUACAGUUGUUGUGUUAUGUGUUCCUGGUACUAGCGAGGACCGUGGGAAGGCGCUGGCGUGAUCUAUACACACUGAUGGAGGAUUUAUUAUCUUGGGAUUUAUAUCAUUUGCAUUAUGAUAUGACACAUUGGAUCUUUAUGACUUAUUUUGGAUGGAAACAUGUUUUAAUAAAUGAAAAUUUUGUUUUGAAAAUUUUCGUUGUUACAGAUACUCUACCCUGUAUCGUUUCGUUUCUAGCAACUUUUGAGUCUCUAUCAAUUGAUUAUUAAGUUUCUUUGCCUCGUUACUAGUAGACACAACAAUAGCAUCAAAGUAAGCAACAAUAUCAUCAAAAGCUAUUAUUUCAGAAUCAUAUGCCUGUAAAGGAAUAUUGAAAGAUUCGAGCAUAGAACAUACCUUUAUAGUCAUUGGAGAUUUGUCACUUGACUUCGAAACGAAGCAAUGUCCAGAUAUCUCCUCUUUUUCUUCCUCCUCGAAUUCUACAAAAAUGGCACCAUGUGUUGGAUGUCUCAUCUCGUCAUCAUCAGACCCGGAAGACCAAAUCAGAUAAAUACCACUUUCUUGAUCUUCAUUCUCUCCUCUUGCCACAAGAGACAAACUCUUGUCUUUCUCACGAACUUCCUCCAAUAUUUCAACAUAAUAAGCUUCGUUCUUCACUCUAUUCUUCUUCUCCUCUUUCUUUCGAAGUAUACAAUCAAUAGCAAAAUGAUUCACACCAUUACAGUAAUGACAAUCUACACCAGAAUCUCCUUUCAAUUUCUUUUCUGCUUUCAAGUUUUUCACUUUAUCAUCAUUCUUCACAGGCUUUUCAAACUUCUUUUUCUCUUCCAUACAAGACUUCGUAAGAUUUCCUUUUAUCUCACUCUGCUUUCCCUUAGAAUUAAAAGGCUUUUUGAAGAACUUAACAUGAUUAUUUGAAUAAAAAGAAAUAGCUUCAUCAUCCGGAUUCAUAAGAAAACCUUCUUCAUUCGAAUUUUCCUUUUUAGGAAAUUCCACUUCAGACACUUUCGAAACAAGAGCUAGUGGUCCUCCUAAACUCUGUUUCGCUUCUUCCAUUAUUUUAGAUACUUCACUUUUGUGUGUCUUCAGUUGAUUGUAAACAUCAUUCAAUGAAGAAAUAUCAAGGCUCUGUUGAUUUUUGAUCAUCAUAUUAACACUCCUCCAUUCCUUCUUGAGUCCCAUAACAUAAGUAAGAUUAUACUCCAUUAGAGACCUUGUGAUUCCAUAGGGAUUACAUCUGUAGAUCAACUCAUUCAGACGAUCAUAGUAAACUUCAAUUGUUUCAGUUUCCUUCUGUUUGAACUCUUUCAGUUCAACCAAACAUUGCUUAACAAAAUUGAUCUUAUUCUUCUCACUUCCUUGAUACUUUUACUUGAGAGUAUUCCAUAUAUCCCUAGCUGUUAUACAACCAUGAAAGUAGUUAUAAACAAUAGGUGGCAAAGCAUCUCUCAAUUCCCUCAUACAACGCUUUGCGUGUUUCUCCAAUCUUGUUUGUUGUUCUCCAACUACAGAAGUAGUUCCAGAUGAACCAAUAUUUUGAACAUUUUCUGGAGGUUGAACUUUUCCUUUGAUGCAAUUCCAUAACUCUUCAUCCAGACCAUUCAAGUAGUCUUCCAUACGAUCAGCCCACUGAUCGUAGUAUUCUGGAAUCAGCAUUGGAAAUUUGGUUGAUGAUCCGAGCAAAUGUGAAUAUAAAGUCAUUGUGUUCAUGUUGAAAUUCGCUAUUGAUGAACACACGAGAAAAAAAAAUUCAGAAAUCACAGAAAACUUGAUUAAUUUGAGAUUUGAUCCAACGAAUUGAUCAGAAACAUAUAAUCGAUCACUCGAUUAUACAAUUUGAAUGCAGAAUCUAAUCAAAUAUGUAGAUCAGACGUGAUUUUCAUAACUAAAAGCACAGAAACUUUUGAGACAAAAGAAAUGACUCAAAAUCAGAUGAUUCAGAAUGAAAAUCAGAUCAUUGGAGUUUGAUUCCUGCUCUGAUACCUAUUGUAGAAGAAUUGUAUUCAAGAAAUCGAUUAAGAUCAAAAUGAUCAGUAUGAUGAACACAGAAAGUAAAUAAGUCAUUGAAGUUUUAUUACUCUCUCAAUAAGCUCUAUUACAAAAAUAGACUUCGAAAUCUAGUGAAAGCUUGCUCUGUCUAAACUAAAGCUUAGUCCCUAUUUAUAAGGAACAAGAGAGUACAAAAAAAAUACUAAGUCUGAUACAAUAACACUUCGUAAAAAAUUGACUUAGUAAAUACAUUAGAUAAGAAAAUAGACUAAACACUAUUCGACUCUUUACAAGACUUCGACCCUUACACAUCCUUCUUCAUAGUUUGAAUUGUGAGAACAUGGAAAAUAAAAAGGAAUAGAACCAGACAUGACUAAAAUGAUUAAACAAUUGUCGAGGACAAUCUGAGGGUUACCAAAGAUUGGUUGAUUGUGGAAAAUUGGAAGUAUAAUGUAAACAUUGGAAAGGACCAUAUUUACAUAUUCUGAAAAGAAGAAACUCUUGUUCAGAAGUGAUAGUCAAAAUGGUAACAUGGAAUUGUUUCCAUAGGUGGAAGUUAUUCUCUGAAUCUGUGCAAGAUUAAAGAACUUAAUGAAAAGAAGGAUGUUCAAAAAAAUGUACAUUGAAUUUGAGAAUUCAUUUCUAUGGAAUUGCUUUCCAUUGGAAUACUCUCUAAUGUCUGUUGCCAAGUCUUUGUGACUUCUGUGCAUAGUCAUUACAAGGGGAUCAUUGCAUAUAAGUUUAGAAUCUAACAGGUUAUAGUAGUUGGCAAGAGUUUGGUAUUCUUACAUUUACAAUAAGGAUUGGAAUUGUGAAACAAACAUCAUUGAAAUAUUGUCAUUUGAUCUAUUUCACAAAGAGAAGACCAUAUGUAAACAUAGUGUGCAUACUUUAAGUACGACAUAGCUAUUGUUUGGAUGAACAUAGUGUGCAUGCUUGGUGCAUGGCAUGACUAUUGUUUCAAUUCAAGUAUUAAGUUGAUAAAUUAAAACAAUGAAUAAUGAGUAAUCAAUACGGUGCUUAGAUAAAAGGGUUUUUAUUUACACUCAAGAGUUUCGGACCAUAUAGGAUUAAGUAUUAUGCUUUUGUUUCACUUUGCAUGUUUUGACUUCCAUAAUAACUAGGUCAUUCUUCCCGAAUGACUAAGUUAUUCAAACUCUCCACAGUCAGUCAUACUUUGAAAGUAGGUAUUGAUUUAAGACUGUCAUGAAUUUGGCUUGUGUGAUUUGUCUAAUGUGCAUUAGACAUAGCAAUGGUUGCUACAACAUUCAUGAGUGCUCAUAAGUCCUGAGUAUUGGAUUCAACCCAUGCUCAUUUGGAUUCAUUUCAUGGAUUUUAUCACGAGUGAAUCGUAAGACGAUAAUAUCUUAUAUUCUUCAAAUCUAGAGAUACGAGUCGUUGACUAUGAGUUGGUUAUACAUUGAUUGCACGAAAAUGCAUUGGAAACUCGAUGUUAUAAAACAUGCCUUUGUGUAUGAUUCAACAAGUAGUCAGUACAAGCAUAUGAUCCGAUGUUUCUCCAUUCCUUUUACCUUCAGGAUAAAGGCGAUAUCUGUGGGCCCCUUAAUGAUUUAGUGAUGACACCCUUAAGUGCUUGGCCAAGCAUGGACUGAUUUGAUUUGAUCGAUUAGUCGGUCGUCAUGAAUUGGAAAUCGGGAAACAACAAAUGGACAGAGAAAUGAUUAUAAUCCAUAUCUCAGUCCAUAUGAUAUCUAGAAUGGAGGAAUAUAUGAUCACUUAUCUAAUGGCCGCGUCAUUGAUUUGUUUAGAGUUCGGCAGCAGCUUUUAAGAGCUACGAUUUGCUGGUUAGGUUGUGAAGUUAUACUUGCAAUAUAGUUAUUAGACUUAUCCAAGUGGGAGACUGUUGGAUUAGUGUCUAAGUCCAUAACUAUAAUUUGUAUACACUUGACCCGACCCGUUAUGGUCCAUUUGGGUUGCAUGGCAUCAGAACAUUUGGGUAGACCUUUUAAUGAGAAGAAGAUAUUUGUGACAUAUUAAUAUAUUAUAAGUUCUAAUAUAUUAAUAUGAAAUCAUAUUAUUUAAUUAGUAUUGAUCAAUAAUUAAUUUGGAAUUAAUUUAGUGAUCAAAAGAGACUAAUUAAAUAUAUGGGGAUUGAUUGUGUAAAUCAUUGAUUCUUAUAUAUGUGGGCUUGUGAUCCAUGAUUCCUUAUGUUGGGUUGAACACAUGUGGUAGCCCAUGGAUACUCCAUGGAGGUUAAAACCCAUGGAGCAUAAGGAAUGGGUAAAGACAUGGGUUACAUGGCGUAACCCUAAUGUGCACACUAUAUAAAGACCCCAUUAUUGGUGAAAUCGGCACUAGUGGACAACAUAGAGGGCAAGCCAAUUUCAUAGAGUGACAAGACUCAUAUCUUCUCUCAUGGUUAUUCCAAAUGUUCAUGGUGCUGUGUGAACCAUUUGAUGUGUCACAUUUGGGGCACUAGGCUCUUGAGCUCCAAGGAAUCAAGCACCAACAAAAGGAAUGUCAUUCUACUAGAUUUUAUAUUAUUUGUACUUCAUAAUAUGCUAGUUAGGAUAAAUACCUUGGAUAUUGAUAUUUGCAUGUAUAAUAGAGAAAACAUAGAUCCAAUAUAUUUAGGGUAGCAUGUACACAAUAGGAGUGUUAGUAUGCUCAAAACCCAACACGAUGUACUCUAAACAUCUUACCAACUGCAACUAAAGGAUAAUAUAGGCAGUUGCUCCUAAUAGAGAACAUCAUAAUCCUGGCGGUUGGGACUAAUAGAAAACGUCAUAAUCCAGGCGGUUGCACCUAAAUGAUAAUAUUGGCAGUUGUGCCUAAUAGGUCACAUUGGCAGUUGUGCCAUAGGCAAUGAUGAACUUCGUGCCUAUUCCUUAGGAGAAUCCUUAGGAGUGAAUGAGUGAAUGAUAGACUAUUCUUAGGGUAGAUCCUUAAGAAAUAAAGAAGAUAACGGGUAUGGGUAAUUGGGUUAAUUGUGUGAUAAUGAAACAUAAUAACAUUAUUAUUAUUAUUGUUUUAUGAAAACCCUAUGUACACACCAGGUUUCUUAACAUGACCCACCCAAUUUAUUUGUAUCACAGAUAUCGAUACGAGGCUACAUUAUACUGAGGGGUUAAAGGAGAUGUAAAUCACUAGUGUAAAUGAAUGUAAGAUAUAUUUAUGCUUAUGUUUCUGUAUUGACAAUGACAUCCCAAAGUUUUAAUAAAAACUAAAUACAUUUCUUCGGUAAUGCUUUGAUACUAUAUUUAUCAUGUUUUCGGGGAACAAAUUCCUCAAUAUUAUUUGUUAAAUUGAAUACUUUGAUUUUCAAAUAAGCAGAAAUAAAAUUUUUAAAAUGAUUGGGAAUUUGGAGAUGUCACAUUGGGUUAUACCCAAGGUUGUAAAAAUCGCUCGACGUUCGCUAAUCGGUGGACUGGGGUUAUGGGAAUAAUCGGCUAGGCGGAGAUUAAUCGGGGGAUUAUUCGGAGACCAUUAAUUUCUAAUUUGUUAGAUUUUAAAAAAUUAAAUAUGACUAAUAUCAUAUAAAACUUAGUAAAUACCAUUAAUAUCAUAACAAAAUAGGAUAAUAUGAUAAAUACAAUACUAAUCAAACCUCAAAUAGUUUAUAUUGAGAUGUAAAUUCUUCAAAGUUUUAAAAUUUCAUCGGGUUCUAUUGGUUCUGUCAUUGUGUAUGUAGGGAUUAAUCGAUAAGCGCCUAGGGAUUAAUCGGAGAUUAAUCAGGACCUAAUCGGGUUUUUUACAACAAUGGUCAUACCUAAUUAUAGGCCAAUAAUGCGUACUCGACAUAGUUAUACCAGAAGUAUGUUCAUUAUUUUAAAAGCCGUUUUGAAACGUUUUGGCUAUAGUUUGGUUUCUCCAAAGGAAAAGCGAUAUUAUCUAUAACCUCUGGCUCUGAUACCAUUCUCUGUCACACCCCGCUAAAGAGGAAAUAUGAGGUGCAAAAGUACAACGGGUCUCAUAGCAAAAGAUAAAUGACAACACCACCCAUAGUAUUAAAAAGAAUUACAAUUUACAAUGAGUUUGAACAACUUGUAAAAGAAAUUGCAAUGUAUUUGAAUAACAACCGAAGCAAAUUGUCCUAUCAAUGAUGUGUCCCUACAUGCCAUCUUACUAGAUGAUUCCUGAAAAACCAUGUAAAAUGAGAGGUCGACUACUGAAAUAAUUAGCGAGUUCAUGGUUUUAUAGCGUCAUAUAGCUUUAAAUCAUGAGAAUCAGAAUAAUGAUAAAAAUUCCAUAAAUGAAAGUUCGUUGCUAAAAUGAGUAAUAAGGUUUCUAGUAAUUGAAGUUCGUUGCUAUAAUGAGUAAACAAGUUUGCAUAAAAAGUAGUUCCUUGCUAAAAAGAGUCACAAAGUUUGCAUAAAAAAGUUUGUCACUAUUAUAAGAAAUAAAGUCCGUUACCAUCAUGAGAAACAAAGUUCGAUGCUAACAUGAGAAACGAGUGUAUAUGUGUUUAAGUGUGUAUGUAUAUGUAUAGUGAACAAACAAUGAGUUUUAAACCAAGCUUAUGAUUUUCGUCCUACCAAGAUCUAUACUUAUCGUUCCAUUGAUAAAUAUGUUAUCAUGAACUCAAGCAUUCGGGCGAGUGAGGAGUUGUCAAUUCCUAAUAACGCUAUCCAUAAUAACCAUUGGCUCAAAGAGUUAAUGGUUGGAGUAAAGUGCAAGGGACUUAGUGACGAUAAAGCCUCAUGUUUCAAGUUGCAUAUACAUACAUAGAAAAAUAUAUCUAUCAAGUUUGAUACAAGUCAAAUAAAAUAUAACGAACAAUAAAUAGUUUUCGGACAUGAUUUUCCACCCCAAAAAGUAAAAACUAAAAAUAGGAGCCGUGAAUACUCACAACAUAUUUUGGCGAUGAUGCUAACGGUGCCUUGAAUGAAGUUCCACUCGUACAACUAGCGAUGUCCUACAAUAAUGGUAUACACUAGUGAGUCUCUAUUAGAAAUCUAAUACUAGCAUACUUAACUUAUACAAUAGAGCAAUGCCAAUAUUGUGUCAAAAUUUUGAUGUUGUUAUGUUACAAACAUUUGUCUUUAAAAUUUAGAUUGCUAUGAAUCAAUUUGUUUAAAAACAAAUUUAACUGCAAAACCUCAUUUUUCAAUGUUAGUUGUGAUUUACUUAUAAGAUUUUGGGAUAUGUUUCAAUUGAUUAACUCUUCAAAACUAAAUCAAGUCAGUUAUAAAAAUUUUCAAACUUUAUAUUUAAGUUCUAAUUGUAAUAAAAGAUCAUGAAAGAUUCUUAGAUUUUUGUGUAACUAUUUAAGAGUGUUCAUAAACUGUGAAAAAUAUGAAAUGCUACUUUUGAACAAUGAAACCUCGUUUUUAAUAAUUACAUUUUUUAUACCAAUAAAAUCUAAUUUAAUAGUAAAUAGUAAGUAAAAACCACCAAAUUUUUUUUAUUUGUGAUCUAAAUAUAGUCAAAGACUUCUAGAUAAGUUUUCAUGAGUUUUAGAUACCUCUAUCUAUUUUCCCUAUAAUAAAUCAUUUGAAUCAACACAAAUUCAUGAACAAAUAGUAAACAUUUAUGAUAAAUCCUCAAUAUUUUUAUACAACUAUUCUAUAAUGUAUAUGAGUUUUCAAAAAUGUCAAAAGUUGUUUCAAAAUGGCAGAGUCAGAUUUUAUGAUUUAUGUGUGUUUAAUCUAAAGAAAAUCAAGAUAAAUUGUAAACGGUGAGUAAAACUAGUGAAACUUUUUAAUUUUCGUUUACUGUCAGAAAUGACGUUCUGGACAAUUUCAUGAUAUUUAAAAUGUUUUGGCUAUUUUUCCUCAUUUAUUCAAUUAAAUAAGCAUUUAAAUCAUGAAAAAUAGUAACCAUUAAAGAAAAAAUGCUAAAAUUUUAUUUCAGGUCGUACUUUAAUGAAUGAUAUCCCAGUAAGUUUGCAUUAAUUAUGGAUAAACGUAAAUAUUUGUCCUAGAUUUAUUCCAUUAAAUUCACAACAAACGUGGAAAAAUAGAAAGAUGUUAUGAAAAAAUUUAAAAAUAUUUAUCUAAGUGUUAUACAAGAUCUAGAAACCGCGAAAAUUAUUAUAUAUUCAUUUCAGAUCUCAGAACAUGGUUUGAUGAUUUAUUUGAUUUAAAUACAAAGAAAACUAAAAAUCAUAUAAUCAUUGAAAAAAAUAGGUGAAACUUCAUGGGAAAUGGUUAUUUGUGAAUUUUACUAGGAUUUAUAGAGCUAAGAAACUAUUUUAUGUGAAUUUGUACUCUAUUUUAUUACAAAAAUUACAUAAUUCGAGAGAAAUGAUUUAGUUUCUGAAAAUUUCCAGAUCUUCUUAUUUAAUUGGUGGGAUUAUGGGAAAAUCGUAUGUGAGUUAAUGAGUUUUCAAUAGUUUGGUGUAUUAAAAUCUUUCAUGCAUAAAAUUUGAAGCUUUUAACAACAUACAUUGGUCAUUAAACAUCUAGGCUUGAAGAUCAACACAUGCAUGCUUGUUUAAGGCCAUGCAUGGUUUUGAAAAGUUUAAAAAUUAUUUUUGAAAGAAAUCAUAGGUCCAUGUUGUGAUUUCUCCACCAAAAGUAGCAUAAAAGUGGUUUAUUUUUAUUUUAACAUAGGUUUGGGUCAUGUGACUUCACCAAUUGCAAAAUUCAUGUUGUUUUUGGGUGAAAUCCUACCACUAUCAUACUUAAACCCAUGAAUAUGAAUGCAUGUAUAUGAAAAAUCAUGAAGAAAUGUGUAGAAGAAGAAAAAGAUGCAAGAAAACUUGAGAUUUAUGAACGAAAAAUGACGUAGAUGUAAGGGAUUUCGUGUUUAUCUCAUAGACCACACUUGAUGAAGAAGGUUUUUGAGUGUAUGCAUGUUUUCUUGGCUAGAAAUAUCGAAAAUAAGAUAAAGUUUGAGAGAACAUGAAGUUGUGAAUGUAGAGUGUGAAAGAGAAUGAGAGAGAAUAGAAGGAGUAGGAGGUAGAGUGUCAUGGAACUGAAAAUGAUUAAGAUUGUUGGGAAGGGGAAGAGUGGAUAGAUUUGAGGGAGUGAGAGAGGUUUUCCCCCAAUUCCGUUUUUAUAAAAUACAAAUCUUUUAUAAAAAUAUCUAAUAUUUUAUAAAAUGCACCAAAACCUAGUUUUUAUUCACACAACCAUAUUUUUUGCCUUAUAAAUUAUGGGUAUAGGUUGAUGACUUAAAUUUUGAUUUUCCAUUGAUUAUAUUUUCCUGAAUAUAUUUAUUUUAAAUUGAUAUUAUAAGGUUCAUAACAAAAUUUAUGGAGUUUUAGUUGUUAAAGUUUAUAAAUUUGAGUUUUUAGGGCUUUUUAGGGUUUUAGAAUUUAAUGAAUCAUUGGGCAUCAAAAUAGUUUGAAUUUUUGAGACUUGAAAUUAUUUUAGAGUCUUAUAACUAUUUUAUAGUUAUAAAUACUGCUUACUACUUUUUUUUGUCGGUUUAUUGGCAUUUCAAUGUAGCGAUUCUGAGAUUCAAUUGAAAUUGAAGAAUAAAGCAUACUAGUCCUAGUUUUCAAUUUUCACUUAAGUUCCUAUGAGAAUCUGACCUAAUUUCUAAUUUUACGUAAAGUACAUGAUGUGUCUGCAUGAUUCACGCAAAGAUAAUCAAGUCAAGGAAUGACUCGAAUUUGACAGUUGUUUUAGUUAAAGUAGUUAUAGAAGUCAAGUAUCAAUGUAAAAUCUAAGUACACUAUCCUUCAUUUCUAAUUGUUUCCAAGUUUCUAGUAGGUUAUAACUUAGCUUCUAGAUUCUAAGUCUAGCAUGUUUUGUUCCUAUAUGUGAAACUAGGUUUAUUCACUUCUAUAACUGACUCGAAGUUUGACGGUUGUCACGAAUGCGAACUUCGAAACCCACUAGGCUCUCAUUGGUUCUGAUGGACUACUGCUGACAUGUUAGUUCCAUUGGGCUGGUGCACGUAGCUGGGUGUGAAAUCUACUAGGGAUAAAUGGUACGACGGAUUUUCAUGGUUAAUUGUGUGGAAAGAUUCUAGAGACACUUUUAAGUUAUUUUUAUCCUCUAUUUAUUAGUUUCCUUUUUAUCUAAUAGGUUCUUUUAGUUACUAGUUUCCUUUUAUUAUAUAAUCAUUGUAAGGCUAUAAAUAGCCCUAAUGUCUAACCUUUUGAAUAUAGUUGAAUGAACUGAAUUUUGAAAAACUUUGUUCUUUUGAGUUGCAUACUCGCACCCUUUAUCAAUUCUAGGACGUGUAUUCUAGGUUAACUCAAAUUCAAAUCAAUAGGGCUUGAUAUGUUUUCAUCGAUACUCAAUCUAUAGGCCUAGAUUGUUUAUCAAAGCUAUUUUUUCUUGUUUUCUUGUUGUUGUUCUUGUUCUUUGAUCAUUAUUUUUAAAUUUUGAUGUUUUCAUAAAAACCUAAAAGGAAACCCCAUCCAUACACGUAUUAUAGGUGGUAUCCGAGACUAGUUUUGAUUGACUAGUUUGUUUGAUUUCAUUCGUUGUCAAUUUUGUUAAUUUUGAUCGUCGUUAAAAAAAUUGUUAGAGCUCAGUGUCGAUUUGUUGUUGUUAUUUUGUGGUUCUUUUUUGAUUCAACAAGUUUGCUUUUCAGAUUGUUACUAUUGAUUAUGGUUGAAAUCUCAUCAGGAGUCAAGAACAUGAAUGAUCCAGAUUUUUUUAAUGUCUUGCAUGAAGUAUUGCGUGGAUUUCAAGAAGAAGGUAGGCGACAAUAGCUAGGGAAGGUUGGAGGCGUGAAUGUGAAGGACUUACCUAAGCUCAUUGGUGGAUUUGAUACAGAAGAAUUGGAUUGGAAAGAAAGGAUCGAAAGAAUUUUUAAGUUCAAAGGUUUGGAUGAUGAGAGAGCUGCAAACAUGCGAUCAUGAAGUUGAAUGGAGGAGUUUCGAUAUGGUUCCAAGACUUAAAGAGAAGGAGAGCUCGUGAAGAAAGAAGAAAAUCUAAUCAUGGGAAUCUCUAAAAUACGAACUCGGAAGAAGGUAUGUUCCUGCACAUCAUCGAAUCACAAAUUAUCCAAAAUUUUCUAAAUCUUGGCUAAGAAAAUUAGAUGUCAUCGGUUUUGAUGGGAGAGACCAUUAUGAUUAAAGAACCUACUAUUGUGCAAGAAUCUUAUGUUGUUAUUGAGUUUGCUGUGAAAGAAAAAUAUGAUGUGAGUGAGCAGGCUUGUGAAGACAAAGAAGUUGAUGAGAACAACUUCAUCUUUAAUGUCGCACUUUGGUACGAACCAAAAAACGACAUUGACAAGAUAGCAUUUCCCAAUGCCUAAACAAUAGAAAAAGAGGAGAAAUAUGUUGUUGUUGAUGUCGAUGGGAAAGAAGAAGUCACUGAAGAAAUUAAUUUUGUAAGCAAAAUUAAAGAAAUAGUUGUUGAAGAUUCUAAUCAUAUAUACAACACCGAUGAUGAAUGUGAAAUUAAGAAAGAGAAGUUUAAUGAAGAAAUUAAAGACAUUGUUGAAGACGCUACCCCUAUCUAUGACACUGAUGGGGAAGGGGAAUUUGUUUAAUGAAUUUAUUUCAUGGUUGGAGACAUAAUUGCUGGAACCAGUUCGGAAGAAAUCAAUUUUGUUGAUACAUAAAAAAUUGUGGAAAAGGCAGUGUUCUCUUAACAGCAAAAGGAGUUUCAAGCACCUAUGUCAUCUACAGACAUGAAGCCAACAGAUGACGAACAGAUCCACAAGCUGAAUUUGGCUUUGUUGGCAAGUUAAAAGGUUGUAGAAAUAGAAAAGAUGGUAAGAGAAGAAGACCCAAAGGCGAAUUUACCCAUGGAGUGUCAAGGUGCAACUUUCUGAUAAGGUUGCGUGUCAUUGUGAUCCAGAGGAGGUCAAGAGAUUGUGAAAGUAUGUUGGUGAAUCAUUGAAGAUGGGUUAUGAUUGCCAUCACGACAUGACAACAUAUUUAAACGAGACUGAUUUGGAUCGUGGCCGAGUCUGUGAUCGGGUUGAGUUUACUCUCCCACGACGUGUGCAAGUGUUGGUCAUCACGUGAGGGUCAACCGAUGGUGAAGUUGAGUAUUCACUUUUACUUUGACUAUUGAUUUGUUGAACUGGGUUGACUUUUGGUCAAUUUGCUAGUUCUAGAGUACAAAUUAAGGUGUGACCUUGUUUGACUCGAUAAGUCGGUUGUAAAACCUAUGUCGUGGCAUUGAGUUGUGGGUUGUUUGACUUCGCGAGAAAGGUGACUCUUCUCACUAUACUGUAUAGGAUGCUAGUUGUCACACCCCCAAACCAGAAUGACGGAAACAAUCGGGGGUGGAUGACUUCACGUAGUACCAUAACAAUCGAAUAUCGUAAAGAAAGUAACACAACCAUCAUAUAUAUAAUAAAAACGUACAUUGUUGCGUUAUACAUGUUUCCAAAAGAAUAUUAAAAUAUGAUGAUUUAAAAUGUUUGAUAAUAAACGCCUUUAGCAUUCCUUCUUCAAAAGCUGGUAGUUACCUGUAUUACUGAUUCCCUGAGAAAUACAAGUGGUUUUGAAAAAGUGUCAACAAUAAAGUUGGUGAGUUCAUAAAUAUUUUGUAUUGAAAAAGUAUGUCUUUUUGAAAGAAAGUCGAUGAACGUGGUUUUCUGAAAAUCCAAUAUUUUCCACAUUUAGUUUGAAAAGUUCCCAAGGUUGGAGGGCGUUAGUAUAUUUCGUAUUUAAAUGAUAAAGAUAAGUUUUGUACUCAAAAUAAUGUAAAUACUGAAUGCAUGUAUGAAUCUCGUAAAUCAAGCUUGUUUUUAUACUUUCAUGUGAGUCUUAUAACCAUACUAUUGACACAGACUGCCUGUAACAACAUUCUUCAGGUGUUGUAGCGUUAUGACAUUUGUCACCCCAAACCUGCCGGUCUAACUGUAGCUAACAGUUUAGGUGCGGGGUUGUCAAUCCCGUAUAGAUCUAUACACAAGUAUCACGUUCUCCCUCCAAGAGAUUAUGGUUUAUAAUAAAGGACUUGAAAUGCAUACUAGAGAGUACAUUGAAGUUGAAUAUCUCACAACACUUAGUAUAAAUAGAUUUAUGAUAUGAAAGUCUUCGUUUCGCUUCAGAUGAAAGUAUUUCGUUUUUCAUGAUGUUUACAUAAGAAUAUAUGAAUAACUCACAAACAAUACCCAUUAUAGUUUUUCAGAGAGUAUGUUCCAUUUGGUGAAAAUAGCUUGGUAAUAUACUAAACUUUAUAUGUAAAGUAAGAUGUUGGUAUCGAAAAAUAAUAAGAUAGAUGUUGCAUUCAUGUUUAUAAAAAGAUACAUUUUCUUGUAUUGUACUUGUAUUUCCCCCCCUAAAAGAUGAAAAGACUUGAAAAGUAGGGGUAUGAACUCACUUGUUCGGUUUGAAGAGAGUGGGACCAGAGUCGAGCAGAACUUCAACCGCGGAAAGUUGCGUCUUCGAGCUUCUCGGGAAUCUUGGUAGCGUAGAACCUUCGUCGGGGGCUCGAGUGAGGAACCGAGGGUGUCGGGAUGGUCUCUGGUAUGUAAGAGUGUGUGAGUGUGAGUGAAAGUUUGAGAGAGGUGUACUAAAAUCUGAAGCUUAUACCUUUUAUUUAUAGGCCUGAGGGCGCGAGUACGUUGGGCAUACCACCGGAGUACGCUAGGCGUACGCGUUAUGCUGGGCGUACUUCGGUUAAGCUGGGCGUAACUUUGCGUUAUGGCUUACGACUCGGGUCUAGCUAGGCGUAGAGCUCGCAGCCGAUGGGACUCGACCCUGCACCUGAGUACGCUGGGCGUACUCCUAAAUUAUGCUAGGCGUAAUUCUGGCUUCCAUCUUCUAAAUUCCGUAACUUUCGCAUACGGGCUUCGUUUUUCGCGUUCUUUAUAUCCACGUGUAGGUGAGAUUAUGCUCUACAACUUUCAUUUAGACUCCGUCGGCUAGUUUUGACUUUAUUUUUAAUGUUAUGUUCUUAAUAGGCCGGGACUGCUAAAGUCCAUUAAAAAUUCAUAGUUUCUUUAUCCGACGUUGGUUUUCGUUUGUCUUUUUAUCAUCUUACUCCUAUUGUGGAGACCUUCAACUCUCGUUUAGGUUGCGUUAGCUAAAUAUCGUUCGAUCUUCAAUUCGAGUUUUUAGCUCUCUACUACUGUUACGAAACUUAGAAAAUUCGUAACAUCUUAAUACAAGGUCCAAUUUGGGUGAUCUUUUUAUGUACGUUUACAGUUUAACGAACUCUACAACUUUUGUUUAGAUACUUAAGGCUAAAAUGCAUUUCAUUGGAAUUUCACUUUUUACGUUAAAUAGUGUUUUAUCGGGUGUGUCGUAAAUAUUUGAGUGGUUAUAAUUUCUUCAAUAUAACCCGGUUUUGAAUGUUCUUUAUGUUUUUGGAAACCUUGGCACGAUAUCUAACAUUUGAUGCAUCCCAAUUUAGAUAUGUGGACACUUUAUUUUUAAGGUUAAUUUUGUUGAUUCCAAAUAGUUUUCGUUGUAUUUGACUUUUGAGUGUUACAUUGCUUUUUGGAAAAAGUAUAGGGUUGUCACAUCAUCCUCCCAUUAGGGGAAUUUCGUCCCGAAAUUUAAUCUAAGACUGAGUUUACGGGUUAGGGAAGAGAUACGAGUACUUUUGUUUCAUCGUAUCCUCGCGUUCCCAGGUGUAUUCAGGUCCUCGCAUGGCGUUCCAGCGGACCUUUACAAUAGGUAUGCGGCUUUGUUUAGUCCUUUUAAUUUCCCGAUCCAUGAUCUCUACUGGUUCUUCUACGAAUUGGAGAUUCUCAUUUAUUGCAAUUUCUUCUAGAGUGAUGACAAUGGUCUCAUCGGACAAGCACUUCUUUAGGUUUGAUACGUGAAAGGUAGGGUGUACUUUGUGGAGUUCCUGAGGUAAUCAAAGUUUGUAAGCCACCGGACCGAUCCUGGCAAGGAUCUCGAAUGGUCCAAUGUAUCUUGGGUUCAGUUUCCCACGCUUUCCGAAACAUAUUAAUCCUUUCCAGGGAGAGACGUUUAGUAGGACACGGUCUCCAACCAUGAAUUCCAAGGGUUUUCGUCUUUUAUCCGCGUAACUCUUUUGUCUGUCCCUUGAUGCUUUCAGUCGUUCCCGGAUUUGAACAAUCUUCUUCGUAGUUUCCCUUAUGAUUUCUGGCCCAGUGAGUUUGUUGUUUGCUGCUUGUCCUCUUGAUAGUUGUGUGUCACCAGUUCAGCCUAGCACAGAGGCGAUCUGCAUUUACGGCCGUAGAGGGCUUCGAACGGGGCAGCCUUGAUGCUAGUGUGGUAGCUAUUGUUGUACAAGAACUCGACCAAGGGUAGAUGGGUGUCCCAUGCUUUGCCAAAAUCGAUUACGCAAGAAUGGUUCUCUCACUCUGGGCGUCAGUUUGUGGGUGAUAAGCAGUACUCAUGUCUAGUCUUAUUCCUAGAGAUUUUUGUAGCGACUGCCAGAACCUUGAGGUGAAUCUACUAUCUCGGUCUGAGAUAAUGGAUAUGGGCACACUGUGCAGCCGUACAAUCUCUCUGAGGUAUGUUCUAGUUACUUUCUCCAAUUUAUCCGUUUCUUUGAUUGGUAGGAAGUGCGCUGAUUUAGUUAAUCUGUUGAUGAUCACCCAGAUGGUGUCGAGUCCGCUUGCUGUCUUGGGUAAUUUGGUUAUGAAAUCCAUGGUUAUCCGCUCCCACUUCCAUUCGGGUAUCUCUAGUUGUUGCAACAAUCCCGAGGGCUUUUGGUAUUCCACCUUGACUUUGGCGCAUGUUAGACAUCUGCUCACGUAGGUAGCAAUUUCGGCUUUCAUGUUCAGCCACCAGUACAGUUUCUUGAGGUCAAGAUAAAUCUUAUCAGAGCCGGGAUGUAUGGAGUAUCGUGUCUUAUGGGAUUCGUUAAUGACGACUUCUCUGAAUCCGCCAAACUUCGGUGUCUAGAUCCGAUCCAUGAAGUAACGAACUCCAUUGUUCUUGACUUCAAGCUUCUUAUCCAUUCCCUUUAAAGCUUCUACUAUCACGUUUUCAGAUUUUAAGGCUUCUAUCCGGGCUUCCUUGAUUUGCGUGGACAGCUGUGAAUGGAUUGUCAUAGUUAGAGACUUCACUCUACGGCCCGAGUAUUCCUUCCGGUUCAGUGCAUCGGCCACCACGUUAGCCUUUCCGGGAUGAUAUCGAAUUUCGCAUUCGUAAUCAUUUAGUAGUUCUACCCACCGUCUUUGUCUCAUGUUGAGUUCUUUCUGGUUGAGGAUAUGCUGGAGGCUUUUAUGAUCGGUGAAGAUUGUACAUUUUGUGCCGUAGAGAUAGUGCCUCCAUAUUUUUAGAGCGAAAAUGACUGCUCCUAGCUCGAGAUCGUGUGUUGUGUAGUUUGCUUCGUGCCUCUUUAGUUGUCUUGAGGCGUAGGCGAUGACCUUCCCUCGUUGCAUCAGGACACACCCAAUUCCUUGGUUUGGCGCAUCACAAUAGACCACGAAGUCCUCCGUUCCUUCUCGUAAGGUUAGAAUGGGCGCACUAUAUAAGGCUUGCUUUAGUGUUUGGAACGCGAUGUCUUGUUUUUCUCACCAGUCGAAGCUCACGCUCUUCUGAGUUAGGGUGGUAAGUGGCUUAGCAAUAUUCGAAAAGUUUUGUAUGAACCUUCGGUAAUACCUGGCGAGUCCCAAAAAUUGUCGGAUUUCUAUUGGGGGUUCUUGGAAUCGUCCAAUUCUAUAUUGCCUUGAUCUUAGAAGGAUCCACGUGUAUCCCCUCUUUGCUUACUACGUGACCUAGGAAAUCUACUUCCCGAAUCCAAAACUCACACUUUGAAAAUUUUGCAUAUAGUUUUUCUGCCCUCAAUGUUUCCAAGACUUGGCAGAGGUGUUGGCUGUGUUCUUCCUUGCUUCUUGAAUAGAUGAGUAUAUUAUCUAUGAACACGAUCACAAAUUUAUCCAGGAAGGGACGACAUACCCUGUUCAUCAAGUCCAUGAACGAUGCUGGUGCAUUUUUCAAACCAAAGGGCAUCAACACAAACUCGUAGUGACCAUAGCGUGUUCGGAAUGCCGUUUUGGGGAUGUCUCCUUCUAGCACUCACAGUUGGUGAUAACCAAAUCUUAGAUCGAUCUUUGAGAAGUAGCUUGCUCCCUGUAGUUGGUCGAACAGAUCGUCUAUGCGCGGUAGGGGAUAUCGGUUCUUGAUCAUGAGUUUGUUCAGCUCCCGGUAAUCGAUGCACAUGCAAAAAGAUACGUCCUUCUUCUUCACAAAUAGGACCGGUGCUCCCCAUGGUGAGAAGCUCGGUCUGAUGAAGCGCUUGCUUAGCAGCUCGUUCAAUUGACUGGACAGUUCCUGCAUCUCUGUUGGGGCUAGACGGUAAGGCGACUUUGCUACUGGAGUGGCUCCGCAAAUUAAGUCGAUUCUGAACUCGACUUGGCGUUCAGGUGGGAUCCCUGGAAGAUCUUCUGGGAAGAUGUCUGGGAAGUUGCAAACUUCUGGAAUGUCUUUAAUGUUCUUCGGUUCUUGUUUCUGGUCUACUACGUGAGCUAGAAAGGCAUGAUAUUCCCUGCGAAGAUAUUUUUGUUCUUUAACACAGGAGAUGAUUUGUAAAUUUGUACUAGGUUUGUCACCAUAAAUGACAAGAGUUUCGCCGUUUGGCAGAUUUAGGCGAACGGCCCUUUCGUGACAAAGUAUAUCGGCAUGGUGAAGACUUAACCAGUCCAUACUGAUGAUGACAUCAAAACUUCUUAUUGAAAUGGGCAUAAGGUCGAUUUGAAAUAAGUGCUCGUUUAAAUUUAAUGUGCACCCUACGUACAUAUCACUUGCGCUUUCCGUUUUACCGUUUGCCAUUUCUACAUUGAAUAUUUUAUUGAGUGGUUGGGGUUUUUGAUUAAGUAGGUGUUUGAAUUUUUGACUCACAAAGCUUCUCUCCGCACCGCAGUCAAAGAGUAUGCAUGCAUAAAUGUUGUUGAGGAGAAACGUACCCGUAACCACCAUGGGGUCAGCUAUUGCUUCAUUUUGACCUAUCGCCAGCACUCUCCCAACACCGCCAACAUUCUUUGCCUUGGGGCAAUCCCUCUUGAAGUGCCUAGUUUCUCCACACCCAUAACAUGCAUGGCUUAUCCCAGUACCAGGAACUUGAGUGAUUGGUCACGCCGGUGCCUUACAAAAAUAGACAGUGUGCCCUUUCCUGUAACAGUUUUUACAGUGCAUCUCACGGCAAUUACCGUGGUGAUGGUAGUUGCAUUUGCUGCACUUUGGCAGGUUCCCAGCAUAUUGUUUUGUUGGCACAGGGGUAGCAGGAUUUGUAGUGGGAGCAGUAGCGGCAUGAACCGCCACCAUUUGUUUCUUUGAAGGUUCUUGUGAAGUUUUCCCCUUUCUCUUGUUCCAGAACUUCUUAUUGCUGUUGUUGUUGGCAUUGUUAUCGUUGUUGUUGUUCCCUUUGGUUGGUUCAGCGACGAUAGCCGUGACGCCUUGACCGACACGAUGAUCGACGAGAGAUUGCCCCAGUUCCUUGGCGUUGUUGAAUGUCAUGGGUUUGGAGGCUAACACACUCCCUCAAAGUUGGGGUGAUAGUCCCCAGAUAUACCUUUCCACCUUUUGGCUUUCCAGGAUCAACAUUCCUGGGCAAAGUAUUAUCAAGUCACUGAAUCUGUUGGUAUAGCCUGCGAUGUCCGAGCCUACCAUCGUAAGGCCCCACAGUUCCUGUUCGAGCUUCUGAAUCUCGCCUCUUGGGUAGUACUCUCGUAGGAGCAUUCGUUUCAGAUUUUCCCAACCCAUGGAGUUCGCCACCACUAGGGUUAGUGUCUUGAUGUGGCCGUUCCACCACGUCAGGGCUCGUUCGGAGAAAGUAAAAGCGGAAAAUUUAUUUUGCAUUCUUCAGGGCAUGCGCAAAUUUCGAAUACAGCUUCCGUUUUCUUUUUCCAUUGGGAUAGAGCCAUCACUCCUCCAGUCCCAUAAAAGGGAAUAGGUUUUCUGUUGGUGAAGUCCUUGUAAGUACAUACCUUGGAACGGCCUUGGCUUUGGCCAUUUGUAAACUUGUUUAUUUCUCCUCCUGACCCGUUGUUACUCAUUUGUGCCGUUGUUGUAGUUACAGCGGCUAUUACAGCGGUUUGGAACAUAGCUGCAUCCAUAGUUGGAGGAGGCGGUGGAGGUGGUGUUGGAGCUGAGUUUAUGUGUGCUGACCUACGAGGAGGCAUGUUCUGGUAGAGAAAUAAUAAUGAACACUAUAAAUUUCUAAUGAUUUGACAAUCGUGUACUAGAGGGUUAGUUGUAUCUUGUAAUUUGUUUUCACUUUAGUUUAUGGUUUCAAAGUAGAUAUAAAAAUUUAGAUAAUCCCAUAAGUUUCGAGAGGUAUGUAAAGAAGCACUUUAUAUUUAUAUAUAUGUCACGCAUAUGGUGCGGUACAUUAUGCUUCGUGUUUAGGAAAAUUUGACCUAUCUAGAGGUCUCCGAUUACAAGUUCAAAGGAAAUAAGAAAAACUUUAUCCGAGGUCCUAUUGUAUAUCAAAAUUGUUGGAGUUGGGCAAGUUCUACUUGCGACGUGUUGUGCGUUUGGAGCUAGACUCGGCAUCCGACUGCUUGACUCCCAUUAGGCGCCUUUCAAGAACUGCUUGUUGUUCCUUCAUCUCUCUUAUUUCUGCCAGUGCUGUCACCAUUUGGCUUUGAAGCGUCCCUGUGUGGAGUUGGGUACUUUCGUGUAGUCCGUCCAAGCGAUAGAUGUAUGCGGCGUUACCCUGUGUAGCAGCAUUGACCUCACGGAUUCUGUCCGCAUGCACGUCUAACUGGUAGUUCUGGGUGGCUAUUGUGCCCACAAUAACGAGAAGUGCUCAAUCAGCUGAGCCUCCGCCACUGACAUUGUAAAACUCUAGACACUUGCCAAAGGCAGGGCGUACACCUAGUUGACGGCUCCAAUGGUAGAGAUGGCUUUCCCAAAUGGGAAUGGGACCCUGGUAUCCUAUUCUGACUUUGGUAGGACGGGGAGCGGGAUGGUUGAUUACUUCCGGCUCGGAGUCUGUUCCAUCAGUAGCUUCUUCUUCCUCCUCGACCUCUUCGUCGGCUUCGAAUUCCUCUCCGACUUCGACUUCGAAUUCUUCUUCGACUUCCUCUUCGAUUUCCUAUGGGUCUUCCUCUAGGUCUUCUUCUAUCCAUCCACCGCUUGGUUUGGGUAGUAGGGAUCUCCCGGUAUAUGGAAUCCGGCCAUUUGUCUGUACUAGGAUAGAGGUAUGAGAAUUUUAUAAGAAAAGAAAUUCCUAUUUAAUGGCAUCCUAAGUUUAACUACAUCUUAUGGUGUGCAGGUUUUUCAUUGUCCUAUUAUUUUAUAACAAUACUCCUAUAGUAUUUCAAAUUUGCGAGUCUAAAAAAAAUUUAUUUGGUAAGUUUUUGACUUGUUGUCCACUACGACCAUUCCUCGACGUACGUUGGUCAAAUCCAGGAUAAAUAUAGUUGAUCAGGCUAAAUUUAUUCUCGAUUUGAUUACAUACAUCGAGGCCCAAUCGUAGUGUUGCAACUUGCCCUAAUACUUUUUAGAAAACUUUGUUAUGAUACGAGACCGAUGCAUGCGCGUAAAAAUGUAUAUUUUUAAAAGAAAAUAUACUGUUUAUGAAAACGUUUUGUCAGAGGAUUUUUGGUCCCCUUUGCAUUUAUAGUUUGUAUAUCUUAUGUGGUUCGAUAUACUUAGUUCACUAUAAACAAUGCUCUGAUACCAAUCUGUCACACCUCCAAACCAGAAUGGCGGAAACAUUCGGGGGUGGAUGACUUCACGUAGUACCAUAACAAUUGAAUAUCGUAAAGAAAGUAACACAACCAUCAUAUAUAUAAUAAAAACGUACAUUGUUGCGUUAUACAUGUUUCCAAAAGAAUAUUAAAAUAUGAUGAUUUAAAAUGUUUGAUAAUAAAUGCCUUUAGCGUUCCUUCUUCAAAAGCUGGUAGUUACCUGUAUUACUGAUUCCCUGAGAAAUACAAGUGGUUUUGAAAAAGUGUCAACAAUAAGUUGGUGAGUUCAUAAAUGUUUUGUACUGAAAAAGUAUGUCUUUUUGAAAGAAAGUCGAUGAACGUGGUUUUCUGAAAAUCCAAUAUUUUCCACAUAUAGUUUUAAAAGUUCCCAAGGUUGGAGGGUGUUAGUAUCUUUCGUAUUUAAAUGAUAAAGAUAAGUUUUGUACUCAAAAUAAUAUAAAUACUGAAUGCAUGUAUGAAUCUUGUAAAUCAAGCUUGUUUUUAUACUUUCGUGUGAGUCUUAUAACCAUACUAUUGACACAAACUGCCUGUAACAACAUUCUUCAGGUGUUGUAGCAUUAUGACAUUUGUCACCCCAGACCUGCCGGUCUAACUGUAGCUAACAGUUUAGGUGCGGGGUUGUCAAUCCCGUAUAGAUCUAUACACAAGUAUCACGCUCUCCCUCCAAUAGAUUAUGGUUUAUAAUACAGGACUUGAAAUGCAUACUAGAGAGUACGUUGAAGUUGAAUAUCUCACAACACUUAGUAUAAAUAGAUUUACGAUAUGAAAGUCUUCGUUUCGCUUCGGAUGAAAGUAUUUUGUUUUUCAUGAUAUUUACAUAAGAAUAUAUGAAUAACUCACAAACAAUACCCAUUAUAGUUUUUCAGAAAGUAUGUUCCAUUUGGUGAAAAUAACUUGGUAAUAUACUAAACUUUAUACGUAAAGUAAGAUGUUGGUAUCGAAAAAUAAUAAGAUAGAUGUUGCAUUUAUGUUUAUAAAACGAUACGUUUUCUUGUUUUUUACCUGUAUUUCCCCCCCCCCCCCCCUAAAACAUGAAAAGACUUGAAAAGUAGGGGUAUGAACUCAUUUGUUCGUUUUGAAGAGAGUAGGAGUAGAGUCGAGUAGAACUUCAACCGCGGAAAGCUGCGUCUUCGAGCUUCUCGGGAAUCUUGGUAGCGUAGAACCUUCGCCGGGGGCUCGAGUGUGGAACCGAGGGUGUCGGGAUGGUCUCUGGUAUGUAAGAGUGUGUGAGUGUGUGUGAAAUUUUGAAAGAGGUGUACUAAAAUCCGGAGCUUAUGCCUUCUAUUUAUAGGGUUGAGGGUGCGAGUACACUGGGCGUACCACCGUAGUACGCUAGGCGUAUGCGUUACGCUAGGCGUAACUUUGCGUCAUGACUUAGACUCGGGUCUAGCUAGGCGUAGAGCUCGCAGCCGAUGGGACUCGACCCUGCACCUGAGUACGCUGGACGUACUCCUGAAUUAUGGUGGGCGUAAUUAUGGCUUCCAUCUUCUAAAUUUCAUAACUUUCGCAUACGUGCUCUGUUUUUCGCGUUCUUUAUAUCCACGCGUAGGUGAGAUUAUGCUCUACAACUUUCAUUUAGACUCCGUCGGCUAGUUUUGAAUUUAUUUUUAAUGCUAUGUUUUUAAUAGGCCGGGACUGCUAAAGUCUGUUAAAAAUUCAUAGUUUCUUUAUCCGACGUCGGUUUUCGUUUGUCUUUUUAUCAUCUUACUCCUAUUGUGGAGACCUUCAACUCUCGUUUAGGUUGCGUUAGCUAAAUAUCGUUCGAUCUUCAAUUCAAGUUCUUAGCUCUCUACUAUUGUUACGAAACUUAGAAAAUUCGUAACUUCUUCAUACGAGGUCCAACUUGGGCGAUAUUUUUAUGUACGUUUACAGUUUAAUGAACUCUACAACUUUUGUUUAGAUACUUAAGGCUAAAAUGCAUUUUAUUGGAAUUUCACUUUUUACGUUAAAUAGUGUUUUACUGGGUGUGUCGUAAAUAUUUGAGUGGUUAUAGUUUCUUCAAUAUAACCCAGUUUCGAAUGUUCUUUAUGUUUUUGGAAACCUUGGCACGAUAUCUAACAUUUGAUGCAUCCCAAUUUAGAUAUUUGAACACUUUAUUUUUGAGGUUAAUUUCGUUGAUUCCAAAUAGUUUUCGUUGUAUUUGACUUUUGAGUGUUACAUUGCUUUUUGGAAAAAUAUAGGGUUGUCACACUAGUUGUCUUUGUGACUCUUGCAUUGCGUGUUGGGUUGGACCUUAUUGGAAUGCUUGGUUGGGCUUUGUUGUAUGAUCGGCGGGACCCAAUAUGUGGGCGGGGCCUUUUAUGUGGAUGUACCCUGAUAUGAUGGGUGGGACCCAUUGUUAUGUAUGGUAUGUUGUAUUUUUGGGAACUUACUAAGCUUUGAGCUUAUGGUUUUGUGGUUUAAAUAUUUUUAGGUACUUCCAGUUCUAAAGGGAAGGGCCCGGCUUGACUAGAUAGCACUGCUUGAUGGCUUUUUCUUCAUUUAUGAUUAACAUUUUACUCUGAUGUUUGAGUGAUUUAUUUUACUAUGAUUGAUUAUGAAGAAAUGAUUGUAUGGUUUUGAUGGUUUGAAAAUGAAAAUUUUUGUUAGUAUUUUUAGGAUGUUACAGGCUGGUAUCAGAACCUUGUAUUGAGGGAUUCAAGCACACUCUUGGGUGUUUCUGAACUCAAACUGAGGAAUUGAUAAUCUUUUCAAACGAAAAUAAAUUCUCUAAAAAUAUUUUUAUGAAUAAAAAUGGCGUGAUCGUGCAAUUAACCAAACUCAGGUCAGUGAUUCCCAAAAUACACAUACAUGAGUAGUAUGCUUAAUAUGCUAUUAUAUGAGUUACCUUCGGGAAUAGCAUGAUAUAAUUGUCUGAUUUGUGUGAUGCCUUGUAGCCUAGGAGGAAUUGGUUGUUAUGUAUUACUUGGAGUCUAUAUUGGCAAAGUUAAUUGCUAAGUGUAUGUUUGAAAAUUGUAUACGAUUAGGAUCAUAUAACCUUAGAAUGAUCGAUUUAGCCUUAUUUCCUAUUCCUUGUCUGGAUGUAGGCUUAGGGUAGAAUCAUUUAUUAGAUAGUCUAUUUGAUCACAUAUUGUGUAUAACUUGCAUGUAUAAGGCAACUGACGAUGUUGGUAAAGGUUCCUAGUAUUGCGGAAGCAAGUGAGUCGAGGAUACCUAGAAGAGCCUAGGGUGUGCUAUAGCAAUAUGUGCAUGUUGUUUAGCAUAGGGAUUAUGAGAGUUACCAUAGUGAAGUAAACUAGAAGAUAUGGGAUGAUUCUUGAGAAAAGUUUGGAUAGGUGUGGAAGGUAGUAUUGGGCCCAUACUAUUGAAAACACAGGAUCCAUGCUCGAAUCAAGGAAAAUCACAGAGAUCCUAAGGAGCAUGUACUACAAGAGUUCCAUCGAGUGUGUUUUGAUUGUUUGUACAUUUACAUUUCAGUAUGGUGGUGAGAACUCGAGGAGGAUGUUCUAGCUCAGGUUCUAGUUUAGGCUCUGGUGUUGAACCGAUUAAUGACAGGAUACGCGAGUUCAUUUCAUUAGAGAUCACUCAUGGACCUGUUAGAUGAUAUUUUACCAGCCUUUCAUGUCAAUAUUUUAACUGCUCAAUUAGGGGCAUAUACUCUCUUUUCAGGAGUUCACCGUUUUCAAGACCCAUAGUUCUUCAACAACAAGGAGCACAUUGCUAGCAUAUGAUGGAUAGCUGAUAUGGAGAAUGCUCAGUGAAUGAGUUUCUGCCCCGAGGGAUCAAAAGUGGGAUUUGUAUCUUGCCUUCUGAGGGACCAAUCUCGCGACUUGUGGGAGGAGGUUGCCCGUGCUUUGGGGGAUGAGGUUGCAAUGGCCAUGACUUGGACCAAUUUUCUAAUGAGAUUAGGGGUGGAUUUUGCACCUGCUAAUGAGGUGCAAUAGUUGGUGAGGGAGUUUCACAACUUGUGCUAGACAUUGGAGACUAUCACAGAGAUCAACACCAAGUUCAGGGAGAGGGCUCUACUGGUACCACAUUAUGUUGUUGAUAAUGAGAUGAGGAGGACGAGGUAUCAUGACAUCCUCGUGGAUGACAUAUGAGAGUUUGUGAGCAUUUCGAGAUUUAAUAUGUUGGAUGAUACGAUUGCUAGUGCCUAAGAAUGGGAGAAUGAGUUGGAGCUUCAUACGAAGCGCAAGACAGAGCAGGUUCAGACAGUAGUGGGCCUAGCAAAAAAGGCCCAAAAUUUUUGAUCCAUGGUCAAGAGGCCAAUAGGUUGGGGGACGUUGCACCAAGUAUGGGAGGUCUCAUGAGGGGAGUUAUCGUGAGAAGGGAAGUUCUUACUUUAAUUACGACCAUCCUGGUCAUUUUAAUAGGAAUUGCACUCGGUGAACACUCACAUGCUUCCAUUGCCAUUAGAUGAACCAUAAGAAGGUUGGUUGUAUGAGAUUAUUAGGUCGAGCGACGAGGGCUCUCGCUCCAGCUUCAUAGAGGAUUAUUGAUGGCCGAGGGGUCAUGAAAGAAGCUCUUAAAGUGAGGAGAAUAGCUUUUCAAUUGAGGCCCGAGGAGGUCGGAGCAAUGCUACAUGUUGUCAUUGGUAUGUAUCCUUACCAUGUCUUUUACUUCUUUCAUUAUAUAUGCUUAUGUUUUAUUCUAGAUCUUGUAUACGUACGUUUUUAGUUAAUGGUUUGACUACUCGUAUUCUAUUCGAUUCAGGUGCUACCCAAUCUUUUGCAUUUCUUACGCUUAGCAUGAAGUUUAGCGAUGCUCUAGGAACUUUGGAUUAUCCCUUGAAGGUGGAGAUUGUCAAUGAUUGUUUAGUAAGUGCUUCGAGAGUUCUUCGUGGAUGUGUUUUGAAUAUGUUUAGUGAGAGAUAUUCAAUUGAUCUAGUGCUGAUUCCUCUACGAGGGUCGAAGGUUAUAGUGGGUAUGGAUUGGUUAGGCCCCAAUGAGGCUUUGAUUGAUUGUAAGCACCACUUACUGAGAGUUCGAACCCCAAGCGGGGGAUAACUAGUUAUUCAUGGAGAGGGUGCACAAAAUGGACCAACUGUCUAUUCAACUACGAGAGCUAGUGUUGGAUUAAUGUCUAAGUCCAUAACUAUAAUUGGAAAGACUUGACCCGACCCAGCAUGGUCCAUUUGGGUUGCAUGGCAUCAUGCACUUGGAUAGACUAAAUAAGAGAAAUAAGACACUUAUGGUUAUUAAUAUAUUAUAAGUUCUAGUAUAUUAAUAAUAAGAAUAAUAAGAUUAUUGAAUUAGUAUUGAUCAAGAAUUAAUCUAGGAUUAAUUAAGUGAUCAAAAGAAGACUAAUUAAAUAUAUGGGUUGAUUGUGCAAAUCAUCCAUACUUAUAUAGUGGGCUAAUGCUCCAUGGAUUAUCUAGUUGGGCUAAAACCCAUAUGAUGCUCCAUGGUGUAUUUGUACCCAUGGAUCAUGGAAAUGAAAGGCCAUGAAAAUUAGGGUUUACAUGGUGUAAUCCUAACUAUAUAUGCAUCUUAUUCUUGACCAAAAUCGGCCACUAGAGAGUGUAAGAAAGGGCUAGCCGAUUUUCAUGAAGUGUAGAAUUCUCUCAAGUUAUUCCAAGUGUAUUUGGUGUUGUGUGAACCAUUUGAGGUGUCACACUUGAGGCACUUGGCACUCAAGCUUCAUGAAGACUUUCUACAUGAAAGAGGUAUGUAUUCUAUCUUGUAAUAUUCAUUAUUUUAUAUGCUAGAUUAGGAUAAUACCUUGGAUGUUCAUAAUUGUAUGUAUAAUAGAGAAAACAUAGAUCCAAGGUAUUUAGGGUUGCAUGUACACUUAGGAGUGUUAGAAUGCUCAAAACCCAACAGUGGUAUCAGAGCCUAGGCUUGUUUUCUUGUUAUACUUGCAAAAGAAGCUGGAAAAUCGAGUUUUGAUGCUGUCUGCCCAGCAGACUCGCCGAGUCCAUGAAUGGACUCGCCGAGUCCAAGGCAAAAUGCAUCCAACUCGCCGAGUUGGUUCGUGCACUCGACGAGUUGGACCCCCAGACAGCAUAAAUUCGACUUUUUUGGCUGGAAUUGGACUAGGAACAUUACCCUAAGAUGUUUUUGGACUUAUAAACUUGUUUUUGAUGUGGUAAUGUUCAUGCUAAUCCAAUUUCAAAGAUAAUUGUCAAUAGAUUCAUGUUUUGUAUUAGUUUAAGGUUUAGACUAAUUACAUGAAAAAGUUUGAUUUGAAUUAUCUUGUUCUUAUGAGUUGCUUAGAUUAAUAGAAAAGUUGAGUGAAAUAGUUGUUUUCAAUCCAAAUUAAUCUAAGAGUUGAUUCUAAAAUGUGUUUUUGUAACUUGUCCUCAAGUUAUAUGAAAAGUCACAUUUAAGUUUCAUAAAACUCAUAAAAGUUGGCAAAGGUUACAAAAAUGAAGAGUCUAGUUCUAAUUAAAUGGUUUUAUGACUCCAUAACUUGUCCUCAAGUUAUGGAGGACCAAGAGUCUCUUCAUUAAAUAAUAAAUAAAAAAAAAAAUUGUAACCUUAAUUAAUUCCAUAAGUUAUAAAAUACAGAAAAAGUUAAUUCUUUUAUUAGUUUAAAGUCUUCCAUAACUUGUCCUCAAGUUAUGGAACUUGAAGAGUUUUUGGAUUAAAACUACUUUAAACACAUAAGUUAUGGAAUUAAUUAGUUUUGAAUAGUUUCAAAACUUGCCCUCAAGUUUUGGAAUUUGAAAAGUGUUCCUUAUGAAUACUUUAAUUCCAAGUUAGCCCUUAGAAUUUUAAAAGUUAAAAUUCAACCUUUAUACUUUAUAGUAUUAUAAGUUAAUAAUAUAUAUGUAUAAGAGCAAGUCAGUCUUAUCGUUAGUAGGCCUCAUUCACGAAGCCGGUCUAUAAGGGGGGUAUAAGGUUACUGCCUAUAAAAUGGCAGUUUAAUCGGUGUCGACUCUCACCCACCACUUCCUUGACCGGUGGAGGGUCGUUACCCGAAUGGGUUUGACAGGACUAUAAUUCUCCCUUUAUUAAAAGUAUUAAUGAUAAAUACUAAGUAACUAAACUCUUAAUAAUACCCAAUCUUAGUUACUUAGGAAAAUGUGAAUAAGGUGCUAAUCCAUGAAAUUACACUUUGCACUUUGUUUAAGUCGGUUAGUGGAGUGUGUGUGGUUAACCGGCACACUAACUCGUAUUUAACAAGGUAGGUAAAGGGUAACUUAAUGUUUAUCAUAGUAUCGAUGGAGCGUGUGUGGUUAACCGGCACAUCGAUUGAGGGGUAAACACUUAAGGGUACCAAGUAAUUUGCAUGGUUACUUCACACCUUGUUUUGUGAUCCUCGGCAUCCCAGUCACAAAACCUGAAGGGCACACUCGAGAUUGAAACAUGCCAUUGAACAGUUCAAUGAAUCUCAAAGAUCUAGGAGUUUCAAAACCAAUUAAAACCUAAUAAUACAUUUCGUUUAUCUUGGUGGAAAUUGGUGAAUCGUCAUUCACCUACCUUCAAAUAUUUUAUAGCUUGGAUUACGGCAUACCUCUUCUAAGUUAUAAAAUAGUUUGUUGGGUCCUAGCCUUAAUAUUUCAUAUUGGGUGUCAUAUUAAGGACUUUAAAUCAACUAUCUUGAAUAUCUCCCAAAAGAUGUCUGGUUUAGACAUUUAUGAUCUUCCCAAAUCUCUUGAAACAAGCUUUCCUAAUGAAGAUGAUGUCCCAUGGAUAUCAUACUUCUUCACCUCUUCAAAUUAUUCUCCCUAACCCACAAGUUCUUGAAAAGUUUAAGGUCACUCAAGCCCUAUUGGCAAGGCAAGGUCUAGGUGUGAUCACAUCUUGGAGAUG